rnacentral:lncRNA from 1 species
AUCUCACAUCUGAACCUGGACUAUAAAAAAUUGAACUCCAUGACCAAAUGCAUGAAUAUUAAAAAACGAAAAUGGUUCAGAAAAUUUAAAACCAAACAUUGGAGAAACACAUCGUGUGCACAAACCUACUUAAACAGCUGCUGAUACUUAGGGACUGGGACUGCUACCUAAUAGGGGAAUUAAUAGACGUUAGAUGGGUAUUACCCCAACAGUUUACUCAAAGGAUACAGUAAGGCAACUUGGAAGUAGACUGUCUGGGUUGUUAAUAAGGUCUCUUCAUAAGAAAUUUGCAUUGCAAAUGCUUUAUCACAAUCUACAGCUGGAAGUGCCAAUAAAUCGGUGCUUCUUAACAUAAAAUUCCCAUGAAACGAUGUAAAGCGGAUUCCUAAGAGAACAAACACAAAUAGUGAGAAGAGAAGCAUCGACAUGUAAGUAAAGAAGGAGACGAACAAUCCUUGAGAACCAAUAAAAAGAAAAGAUCACCUUUUCCGCAUCUUAUACGCAUUACAGCUUCCCAGGCAGUUUCUCUAGUCAGGUCCCUUGCUAACUCAUGUCUCAACUUUUCCCCAUGAAUGGAAGAUUGGAAGCCUGGAUAAUAAUACACCUGGCCUCCAGUAUAUUUUGCCAAAGUCCCUAAGUACAAGAGAGAAACAAAGAUAAAUAAAUAAAUUGCCAGUGCACCAUAACCGAUGUUUGCAUGUCAUGUAAAAAAGAUAAAUGGGUACAGGGAAGAUUGUCAUUAGAUCCAUCAGACCUAGAUCAAUAAUCAGUAAAUUUGUAACUAAAGAAAGGAAGAAGGAAAUGUCAAGCAUUAAUUUGUAACAAACAUGAGUGACAGUAAACAUAAAAUGUAGACCUAAAAUUCCAGUUUUCUCAUAAAGCCAACCAAAAUAAAAAAUUUGAAUGCACCAGGAUUAUUGUGUAAAAGUUAUUUUCUUAAUAAACUAAUAACCAUUAGGCCUCAUUGUUCACAGGAGAAACAAGCAAACAUAGAAUGUACCUAGGAAGCACUGACAUUGACACGUGACACAGAGACAUGGCGACACGACGCUAUACCAAUUUUAAAAAAAAUAGGACACAACACGUCGGGGACACAUUAUUUUUUUAAUUAAAAAAGUUAAAUAUAAGUUGUGCAUAUAAACAUAUUGUAAAAUAUUCCAUUUGAAAGCAUCAAAAUAACAAGUUAAACACCAUAGAACUCAUGAAUUUAUGUGUGAAGGUUUGGACGUGAAUGUUGGGGUGUGACCGUUUGGAUGUGGAGGGUUGGGCGUGGAGAAUGAGGGAUAUUGUGGCUGUAUGAGAUCUGUUCUUGGGAAAAGAAAAGGACAGGAUAAAUAAUAAGCCUAAAAUGUGAGGUUGAUGGUCUGUCUUUGGGCUAGGCAUUUGGGCUUUUAAAAUGUUAGUUUUAGUAAAUUUUUUCUUCCCAAACCUGCAGGUUCCGUGUCCCAGCCGUGUCCUAGAAGUGUGUCAGCCAUGUCUGGGCAUGUCCAAAAUUAAAAAAUAAUAAAAUAAUUGACACACCAGCUGGUGUGUCGGACAGAGCGUGUCAGGUGUGUCAAAUGUUGGACACAUGUCAGACACAUGUCCGACACCGAAACUUCGCUAUCUUAUAAGUGUCGGUGCUUCUUAGAAAUGUACCAUGAGUUAUUCAGAUCCCCCCAAAUGAAAACAAGUAGCCACAGUAAUCUUCAAGGCUAGACCAGAGAAGCUCACAAAAAUAUAUUUUUUAGAUGUUCAUAGUAUGUUGUGGUGAUUAGAAAAAGUCACCAACAAGCAUAGCAGGCCCCAAGAAAAUAUUUUUUAGAUGUUCAUAGUCAGUCGUCAAAUGUUCUUUUGGCAAGAAAAAAAAAAAAGAUUUGACAGGACAGCCCCAAGAAAAUUCUAAAGAAUCAAAUUCAAUCAUGUGACAACUGACCACAAAUACAUUCUCCAGAGACAAUAUGAAGGGACUCCUUGUCCCUGCCUCAUUAGGCUGUCCUUCAUGAUCUUUCCGAAUGAAAGGUUUCCGUUUCUUACCAAACGUAAAUAAAUAAGAGAUGAGAAGCAUACCCAAGGAAGCAAUAUCUGUAUACUUGUCACUAAAUGCAUAGACAUUGACCCCAAUUUGGAACUUGGUAAAUUCAGCAGCCAUUUGUUUGUAGAAUGGAUCCUCGGGCAGUCUUAGUAAAUGUUCUUUGUCUGUUCCGUAAACACGAAGAUCAUCCCCACGCAACUUCAAGCGGCCAACACCAAGAGAUGGCAGUGUGUUUUGAAAAAUUAACAACUUCCCCCCCAGUUGGCUCUGCAAAGAGAGUGGAGUGAAACCAAUAGUCAUAUAAAACUCUCUAAAAUAGAUCAGUUUGAUUAUAACCGAACUUACAAUAAUAUCCACGUGUUUGUAUUUUAAUUCAAUGACAAGGAAAUAACAAUUUUAUAUAAUAGAACAAGACAAACAAGUACGACAAUGGCGACUAACUUAAAAGGUGUAGAUAAUGUACCAUAACCAUAAAUGCUGCUUUAAGGGCUGGGCCGAAGGCAGAUUCAACAUUCACAUUGUCCUGAAACAUGGAUGGCAAGCUAUCUAGGAAUGAUUCCACCACAGUUCUUGAUUCAGAUAAGUUGACAAGGAGAUCAUCCGGCAAAGGUACAAAUAUGUCAUCCAGAUCGGAAACCACCAUCAUUUGUGGUUGAGUCAAAGUCGACUGUGAAAGAAACAGGACUUUUAGCAUGAAGUAUCAAAAUUGGGGUAAACAUAUAAUAGCAACCAAUAUUUUCUACCUUCAUAUUAUAAAAAUGUAUUGUGCUGUCAAAAGUCGCAAAACCUAUUUGUGUUCUAGUAGAACCAGGCAGCUCAUCCAAGCAUGACCUAAUUGUUUGUGCCACAACCUGCAAAAGGAAAUACAAAUUUGACACGCUGAAAAUUAGGCUCUUAUUGUUUGGCAACCCCUCAAUUAAGUAUAACUUAUUUGAAACACUUUCUUUACAGACAUCUUGGUCGAAUUUUAGGGAAAAAACUAGAAGAAAAAAAAAAAACCAAUUAUCAUGGUCUAUGGAGAUAAAUGAAAAUACACCCACGAGGAGCAACCCACAGAAACAAAGUAACAAGAAAUUUCUCCAAUGAUGAGAAUAAAAAAUAACAAAAAUUAAAAAAUGGUGAGAGGAAGGGUAUGCGUAAAGGGGCAAUAAUGUUCAGAUAAAUUUGUAGGACUGGUUGGGUAGUAGCCUAGUAGGAGUAUAUAAGAAAGGGAGUUCGAGAAAAAACAUUAGUUAUCAUUGUAUUGGUGAGUUUUUAGUUUCUAUUUCCUCGGAUGAUUUGAAAAUGCCCAAAUACUUUCUGGACGAUCCUCAACAGGUUUUAAAUAAUUUUUUAUUAGUAUUCCUGAUAACAACCUUUCAUCUUCUAGGGUUAGGAAAGAUAAAAAGAUUAUUUUUGGUCUAAAGUCUUAAUCAAUCUUUCUAUGGUUGAUAGGGCAUGGAUAAAACUAUAUGAUAUGGACUUUGAUAGAAAAUGGAGGUUAAUUGGCAACUUCCAUUAGGAAGUUGGAAAAUUGGUCUUACAAAGUACAUUUCAUCCAAAGUUUAUAGUUGGUUAUGGGGCUUGGCAUUCGCUAAAAUACUUACCUUCCUUACCAUUUCGCUACAAAACUUACCUACCCCACCAUGAAAAGGAGUUAUGUUUAGAAAAUGAAAAUCCAACUUUCGCUACCAUGCAUGUGGUUAUAUUAUCGAUAACAGUUCACAGGGGUGAACAAGGAGUGAAUGUUCAGUUGCAUUCUAGUUCUAGUUCUCUUGGUUCGGUGGAGGUAAGUAAUGGAAAGCCCACACUUCUCUACCUUCUAAAGCAGUUUAUUCUCUUUUUACCACUCAGAGAAAGGAGCAACCAUCUGCAAAUAAACAUUAUCUAUUUAAAUGCUCAUGAGGAAUCUUGUGCACAUCUCUUAUAGCAGAUUCUCAGUCGAUAGAAAAACCACACCACACCCAUUGCCUCCUUGUAUGAACUUCAGUCAAUCAAUCAUUAAUAUCUUGGGAUCAAAUAUUCCUUUUGUUAAAGGAGUUUCUAGUCGUUCCCCCUUAAGGAUAAUUUCUAAUUGUUGCCCCCAAGGAUAAUCUUUCUAUUUACAAUUCAAAUGGAGAAUCAAUAGUCAGUGUAAGUAAUAAGGAUAUUAUGGACUCUCAAGCACAAUUUGAAUAUGUUAAAAAAGGUGUUGCUAAAUGAAGAGCGCUCUUAAAGUCUUAAUAAAGUAAUAAACAAAUAUUACUGAAGCAAAUGGCAAGGGCCUUGGAGGCGCUAGCCUAGGAUAUCUCUUAAAUCACCGAUUGAUCCAAAUGCUUAAGCUUAUAGGUAAGGGUAAAUUUAAUAUAAUAUCCAACACCCUCCCUCACUUGUGGAAUUGAAAUAUCAAGAAAGACCCAACAAAUUUAAAUUAACAUUAAAUGGAGAGGAAAUAAUGUUGCAAGGGUUUGAACACAAGGCCUUCGAGAACCACCUGCUCUGAUAGCAUCUUAAAUUACCAACUCAACUCAAAAGCUUAAGCCAAUAAAUGAAGGUAAAUUUAUUAUAAUAUCUAACACUCCCCCUCAGUUGUGGGUUUACAAUAUGAGGAAGAGCCAAGAAAGUGAAAAUUUAUAUUAAUUGGAGAGGUAUAUGACAUUGUAGGGCUCUGAUACCAUAUUUGAUAGUAUGUGUUUCCAUCUCAAAACCAAUUGGCAAUGAGAAGAGUAACUCAUAUACCUUAUAAGAAGUGUGAGUCCCCUUGGUUUUUCCAAUGUGGGAUUCUCAACAUCUCAAUAUGCCCCUCAAAAUAGUGCCUCUUUGAGUUCACCAAUCUUGAACUAAAUACAUGUUUGGGCUUAAUGAGCUCUGAUACCAUCUUAACUCACCGAUUGACCCAAAAGCAUCAGCUUAUAGGUGAGGGUAAAUUUAAUACACUGUCCAAUAAUAUCAAUCAAGGACAUGUGCUUUCCAUUGCCCCUUGCAAUAGGCGAGCUCGAGGGCGCCUUGGAAGCAUUGAUUUUAAUUAACCAAAAAUAAAAUGUAAAAAAGAUGAGCAUAGUUUUGAGACCAUGAGUUGCUAGCUAGUAGGUUGUUGGGUUGUUUAUUAGUUACAAACCAGUAAAACUGCCGGUUAAUUUUUGUCAGUUUAGAUUUCAGUUGGUUAUAAUAUUUUUUUUGAAACAAAGACAAACUUCUAUAUCAAUUAUCAGAACUCAAUGUGCAAGAGAAUUAUACAAAGAGCGAAAUAAAGAAGUCUAAACAAGCGAAAGAAGGACAAUGAUCAAAAGAUGCACCGACAUCUCAACUAGGUUGACACCCCCUUAGCACCAAAACGUCACCCAGACAUUUCAGUUGGUUAUAAUAAUGGUAUGAAUACCACUAUUAGGAUGGUGAUGGACAGAUUAUCAUUCAAUUUUCUCACUGAUUUAGUUUUUACCAAAGAAACCUUCCAUAUCAACCUAAAUGCUAUCAUUCAAUUCAUAUCAUUCUUUUAGAUUGGAAGCACAAUUCCCAAAACAGAAUUUUCUUAUGAUUUGGAUUUGGUUGAGCAUUAUUUUAUUUUCAUUUCCUUAGUGAACAAUUUAGCAUCCUUUUCAAAAAAAUCAAUAAAAUAGAAAAUAUACAAAGAAAAUGAGAAGAUAAAGGAAAUAAAACUAAUAAUAGUUGUAAGUUGUAACACUUGUAAUCCAUUGGGGUGAUCUCAUCAUUUUGUAAUUUCAUUUUAUUAAUGAAUGAUUCUUUAAAAAAAUAGUAGUAGUAGAAGCAAUUGUAUAGAAAUGUUUACCUCUAGCAUCCCACUUCUAACUGCAGCUAUAGAAACAUCGAUAAGGAAAAAGUAUAGUGGAGGCAUAGGUGGUCGAACCAUGUACUCGGUUGGAGCAACAAAAUCCACACUACCCUUAGUGAGCUCAGGUCGCUGAUCCAAAUCAAUUCUCUGGCCAGUGGCAUCCAAAUGAGCAAAAUAAUCUCCUGGAACUGAAUAAGGAAGCGAUGUAAUUCAAUAUAAUCCAACAGGGGAAAUAGUAAUAUACAAAAAGAAAUUACUUUUUCUCAGCAAAUAAUACAAAUAGAUAAUAUUUGGCUUCCCAAGAAGACGAAAGAUAAUGAAGUGGAUAUUCUAUUCAAGUUCUACAGUAACACUAAAUUCUUUGUCCAAGAAAAGAAAGGAGAAAAUAAAAAGACAGGUUUAUACUGGCUAAAGUUCAAAAGAACAGACGUAACUUUGAAUCUUAAAAAUAUGUCUUCUAUGCACUAGACUUCCACAUAAGAAAUUGUGACUGCAUUGCAAUAGGUCAUAUCAUUUCUAAUUCUAGUGUCAAGGGCCAAGAAAAUUAUAAUUCUUCAUACCAUCAUUCAGCAAUGAACAAAUGUUGCAGCGCCACUUUCUUCCAGCAUCUGUGAAUGUGGCAUAUGGAUUUAUAUAAGUGCGACACCUCCUACAGCGGAUGACGCCAGUUGAAGCAAAAUUGAUAACUGGCACUUCUUCCUAGAGAAAAAUUAGAGAAAUUUAACAAGGUAACUUUAGCAUGCACAGAAAUCAAAGUAUUACACAGAGACGCUAACCCCACUAGGAGCUUCUGCAAGUGGACAAACAAUUGCUCCAAGAGGUAAAUGCCACCUUGAGACCAGUGACUGAGAACUGGGUAUAGCACUGGUUGUAAAACGUAAAUAUCUUUUAUCGCAGUUCAUGGCGUACACCUCGGAGAACAUUUUAGGCUCUUCAUCACCAUUCAAUGGCCUUGGAAGUGCUUUUGGAUCAAUUCCUGCAUCAAUUGAUCCUGGAAUAGAUCCAAUAGAAAGUGAGUUGAAAUCUUCAGCCAAUCCUUGAAUCGAACCAAGAGGAGGUCCAGUUCCUGGAUGGUGCUUUUGGUCCGUAGACAGUAAACCUUGUGAGGCUGCAGCAGGAGGAGGCGGGACAUAACCUCCUUGGUGACUAAGGAAAGGGGAAGCUGGUGCUGAAGGAGGACCAUACGGCCCUUGGUGACUAACAAAAGGAGGAGGUUGCAUUUGUUGGGAAUGUAAAUCUGCAUUAGGUUGCUUAUGGACAUACCCAGGCAAAGAGGACUGAAAAUUAGGCCUGGCUGAUGGAAAAGAUGGAUCUGACAUAGGCUGUGGAACAUUUGUGGGAGGAGGACCUAAGCUUUGAGGAGGUGAUCCCAUCGGCACUGAAGGAACCUGACUUUGCUGGUGAAAGGAAACUGAAGGGGGUGGUACAUAAGCUCCAGGGGGUUGCCCCAUUGGUGGAAUUCGUGGAGGAGGUGGUUGAGAUGGUGAACUAAACUGUGGAGCUGGGAAACGCUGGAAAGACCCAGCAGUAGCCGGGACGCUUGAUGUUGGUGGAGGUGGAACAGAUGGAUCAGAAAACCUACCUGGUUGCAUAGGUCUAAACCCAGGGACCCCUGAUCCAACUGCAGGACCAGAGGAUGGAGGAAAAGGCAUUGUGUUUGGGGGCAUAACAGGAGCGCCAGGUCUAAAACGAGUGGUGUCUGAUCCAACUACAGGACCAGAGGAUGAAAAGGGUGACGUGGUCUGAGUGGCAGUAAAAGGUGUGCCGGCAGGUCUAGUAGGAAAGUUCGGGUGAGCAGGAUUUUCAGUCCCCAUGGUUUCUAUUGUCGCACUCUCACGCCCUUAGAAUUAAUGGGAUGCUAGCAUGACGCAGACCUGUCCAGCCAACAGUGAAAAAGGAUAAAAAAAAAUCAAAACUAAUUCUCAAAGAAGAGAUGAAUGAAUUGCCAAUCAACGCGCAAAUAAGAACUUCCACAACAUAAAUCUUACUAAACAGCCAGACAUCUCCUAACUCAGCGCCAAAGCAUAUUUAAAUUACAAUAGAAAGAUGAACGGGAUGCAGGGAAAAACAUAAAGAACUCGAAAAUGCAACCCAGAAAAUCCCCUAGAUUCCAUAUACGUAAUUGUUCAAACUGAUUCUUUAGGUAGACAGAGGAAUUUCGGAAACCAGAGUUCAAAGGAGGCAAACAUCGAGUAAGUAUGAUCAAUAACUGAAACUGAAUUCACAAGUCAAUUUGGUACGCAGAUAAUAGCAGUGGGAGAAGCAAGAUUUGAAAGAGAAAGAAGAUGUCGAAUUGAUUCCGGGAAAGUCAAAAAAGAGCAUGAAAUCGAAGCUAGCAUUGCGUGAAAAGAAAGAGAGAUCUGGCACAGGCAAAGAAGUAAAAACAAAAAAUUGUAAUAAAGAAACUGAUUCGGAAGCAAGUGGUACGACAUCAAAGCAAAGCAAAACAAUAAAACAUGGGUAGGGUGGAAUUGAAUUGAAUUGAAUUGAAAUGAAAUGAAUAGGCGAAUCGAGAAAGGGAGAGGGGAAGAGAUUUACCUUGGGUGUAGGAGGGUCUGCAAGCAGAGUGGGAUCGAAGAGCUGGGCGGAUCGGAAGUGAGGAAAGAAGGAAAGCCAGCCAGUAAGAGAGAGAAGAUAGGCGAGGAGAGAGAUGAGUGAUUUUGGAAAUGGAAACCCACCAGCAUGACCAUCCCCUCCCUUCCGAUUCAUUCACUAAAUUAAUUCAAACUCAAUUAUUUCUCUCUACAUUUUUACCCCCACCCAAUUUCACAACAAUUAACGUAAAAUAACUUUAUUCUAAGUUUCAUUAAUCGGUCUAUAGUGUGGUCUAAUCUUGAGUUAUGGAACCAUUGUUUUGGACUCUGAUGUGUGAUGUUAAACUCAUUUCUGUCUUUCUUUUUAUUACAAUUACAAUUUUUGAACAACAUUAAUUAUAUGGAUACGUUGUGGCGAUCAAAAUAUCUACACAUCAGAAAAUCAAAUAAAAAAGGUCAUUAUUCUUGAAUAAGCACCUCGAUUGUAUCUUUAUUAAAUAAGUAAGUUUAUAUUCUACAAACGAUUUUUAUAUAUGUAUAUAUAUAUAUAUACUUGUUGUUUGAACUUUAUAAUUAUUCUAAUAAAUCCUAGACUUGAAAGCCCAUAUCUUAUAAGUUCUUCUAGUGUUAUGCUUAGUAGACUUUUUAUAAAUGUGGAAAUAUAAUAAACUAAUUGAUAUAUUAGAUAUAGAUUAUUUGUCAUUUUAAAAGUUCAAUAACAAAUGACAACCUUUUAAGAUGGAAUUUGCUUUUAAACUGAAUUAAUUUCAAAUACAGUAAAAUAAACCAACAUAUUUACAAAAUAUAACAUAAUUUCAUAAUUUAUUAUUAAACCUCUAUAAAUUUAUUAUAAAUAUUUAUUGAUAUCUAACGUCGAUAUAUUUUAAAAUUUUACUGUCAAAUAUUUUCAACCUUUUUCUUAUUUAAAAUAAUUUUUCACUUUAAACUUUAAACUAAAUUAUAUAAAAUAUUAUUAAACUCUUUCUUUCGUUUUUUAAAAGUUAAAAAAUUUACUAUUUCUGUUACUUUAUAAUUUGUCAUCUAACUUAUGGGAUAAACGUUUGAUCUUUUAUUCAAGUGUGCAAUUCAGUAUUCACCCUAUCAUGACAAAAGAAAAUUUGUCAUCCAUUAAUAUUUUGUCCCUUUGAUUUGUGUGUUACUCCCUCUAACAUUGGUCAACCACAUCUAUAUGAGAUAAGUCGAUGAUUUAAUCGAAUCUUUUAAUGUCUUACUUCAGGUCAUACCAUCUUAUUAAGAAAAUUAGUUGUACAUAUGUCAUGCUUACAUUGUCUUUAUAUACCAACUAUAACAAGAGUUUAGACAACUCAUCAACUAUACUUACAUCCAAGUAUGAUAUUACCCAAAACGUGUUUGAAAGAUUGUUCCUACCCUGUCGAAUUAAGUAGGAUAGUUUAUUGGUUUUAUAUGUUUAUUUAAUUAUUUUAUAGGUUUUGAGUACUUGAGAGAUAGAACGAGGAAUUUUUAACUAUCUGGAGCUAAAACAAUCCAAAAUGGAACUUAACUAUGCUUAGUUGAGAAAGAUGGAGUUGAAAUUUUCAAACUGUGCUCCAAUCGACACUACUAAACAAUAGUUGUCAUUUUCAAGUAAACAGUAUAGCACAAUUGUGUUUCUCCCUUAGAGCGCACGAACACUUUGAUUCCACCUCAUACACUAGAAGACACGCAUAUGUGGUGCUGUGACAACUUUAUAAAUAUAAAGCUUUUACAAAUCUAGGUCAUCUUCUAGACUUCUUCUAAUUCCAACUAUUUUUUCUCGACUUUCCUCUUUUAUUCCCUCAUGUUUUUAGUCUUUUGAUGUAUUCAAACCCGUCCCCAUUAAUUGGUGUGUCAAUUGUGAUCUAAGGUAAUCAUUUAUAGCUUGGAUUGUAGAAUUUCUCUAAUUUGAUACUGUUGUGAGCCUUUGAACCAUACAUUCACAUAUUAGCUUGAUUCAUUUGUGUUUUAGUGGACCGUGCUUGGAAAUUUUCAAAUUGAUAUUUUAUAUGUGAAAUAUAAUCUUAUGCUGAUCACUAAAAGCGAUAGAUUAUACUAACUUACAAAUUGUAUUGUUAUAACCAAUAUCAUAUUAUAUUUAAUUGAUUGAAUACCUGAAUCACGACUUCUAUAGUUAGUUAUACCAUCUAACAUUUGCUAACGUGACAUUAAAAACUACGUUACACAAGUUGAUUGCAAUUGAAAUUUUAGUUGCAACAACUUUACCAUACAUAAAAAAUAAGUUUCAUAAGUGCCAACUUUUUUCAUUAUGCUUUAUUCUUCCUGUCAUUGUCGACAAUUAAGAUACACUUAGCUACAUGUCAAGUUCAAAGGGAUUUUUAUCGUAAUUAGUUUUUAUUUCAAAACAAUCAUCUCUCUAUGAUUAUUUUUCAGUUACUAAAGCUAGCCUUUAUUUGAGAAAACUAUUUGUUUGGUUUUAAAAUAGUUCAUUUUGGAUCUAAUACUUAUAAUUCCUCCAGCUUUUCUACUAUGUCAGACAUACUCCAAUUACACGAAACAGUUUUUUUAGGAAAAACGUAAUUUGAAUCCUUAUAAGAACCUUUCCAUGUUGCAACAAAAGUAAUAAGAAAUAUCAGAGCAUCAAAAAAGUACAAGAACAAGAACAAGCAACUUAAUCUUGUAAACAUAAUCAACAAGAUUUCACAAAGUUUAUGUAGAGAAAUGGUAGUGAGUCUUACAGAGAUGAAACAACAAAUAAUAAUUAGGGUUAUUUUCAAGGAUGAAAAGAUAACAAAAAUAUUUACAAAAUGUAUCGAAAUAUUAUCGAUGGAUGGACGCUAAUAAUCGAAUGCAUGUUUAGUCAAAGUAUAUGAUUAUCAACUAUCAAUUAUUAAUUAAAAAAUGUAUUAUUUUCGUUUAAUUCGUUGACCGUUAAAAAAGAAAAAAAAUUCUCCGACGUCGUAUAGUUCAUCGUGGCGCGCCAUUCUUUCAGUUACCGUGAACAUAUUUCUCAGGAACUUAUUUCUCUUAAUUGAGUCACCUACUCACCUAACCAGUUGUUGAAGCUCUUCAUCCACACCCUUAUUUUUCAUACCUCUCUCUCUCUAUUUAAUCUUCCAAUCUAUUUUCCCUUAUUUCUCACAUUCGUUGAAUUUCUUUUCUCAAUUGGAAGAACAUCAGGAAGUUUGUAAUGGCUAGGAAGAAGAUCAGGGAGUAUGACUCUAAGAGGCUUCUCAAGGAGCAUCUCAAACGCCUCGCUAAUAUCGACCUCCAGAUCUGCUCUGCUCAGGUUAAUAAUUCAUAAUGGAUAUUCCUAUGUGUCCUUAUGUAAUGCCCAUCUGAUUUGUCUUCGGUCUUCAUCGCUGUGUAUCGGGAAUUUCGAUUGAUUGUUAUCUGGGUUCAAUUUCCUUGGUCUUUUUUUAUGGUGGGUUGGUGCCAAUUUGUCCAAUUUGCGCAAUCGUGUGUUGAUUGUUAUGUGGGUGUGAUUUAGUAGUUAGAACUUCGAUUGCCUUGCCGGUCUCUUGAUCGAGUUUUCUUUCUAGUUUGGGUCGGUUUUAUGUCGUUGGAUGGGUGGAAUCGUAUUUCUAAAUGGGGUUUUGUGUAUGUAGAGAACUUUGUUUUCCAUAUGGGGUUAUCUUCCAAAAAGCAAUCCAUUGGUUUAGGAAGCAUUUUCCCGUUCAGAAAUGAAAUUUGAAAUUUAGAUGUUUAAAACGAAGUUUGGAAUUUAUCUUGUUCAUUUGAUUUUUUGUUACAUACUUCAUUUGAAUAUGUACCAAGGAGAACCAGAUUUGAUAUUCCUUUUAUCUUGUUUUUUGUUGUUGUUGUUGUUGUUUUUUUUUUUUUUUUAUUAUUUUAUUAAUUUUUAUUUUUUAUUAAUGAAGGAUUGUUUCUCUCUCAAUUAAUCUUGUAGCGAUACGUUUUUCCUUCUUCCCAUGCUAAGAGCAAUACUCAUGCGUGAUUUUUUUGGGUUAAUAUUACCAAUCUUCUGUGUUUGGAAGGCAUAGAAACAACAUAUUUCCCAUUUCCUUUUACUAAGCUCUGUUGUCCAUUUCUGGAAUAAAUGUCCUUUUGUUUGACUUUGUAAAUCAAUCAACCAAGCGUUUGACUUAUCAAUCAUUUUGUUUCACUUGCUGUCAGUUUUUUUGGACUAAUUGUCUAGUAUAUUUAUAUAUACCUAAUGAAAUUUGCUGGGGCAUAGGUAAAUCAAUCAACCGACUUCGCUGAGCUGACAAACAACGAACCAUGGCUGUCAUCUACCAGGUUAGUAGUGAAACCAGACAUGUUAUUUGGGAAACGUGGAAAGAGUGGCUUGGUAGCUUUGAAUUUGGAUCUAGCUCAAGUUGCUGAGUUUGUGAAGCAACGCCUUGGAGUGCAGGUGAUUAUUCUUUCACACCUUCAUGAUUCUUGAAUUCUAUCUAUUUCUGUUUCAUAUAAAACGAGUGUCUUUUUAUGAUAGGUUGAGAUGGGUGGUUGCAAGGCUCCAAUUACAACAUUCAUUGUGGAGCCAUUUGUUCCCCAUGAUCAAGAGUACUACCUAUCUAUUGUCUCUGAAAGGCUUGGCUGCGAAAUAAGUUUUUCAGAAUGUGGGGGUAUCGAAAUUGAAGAGAACUGGGAUAAAGUAGGCGUUGGAUUUUUUAAACUUAUUUUCAAUACGUAAAUUAUAUUUUUCUCAUCGGGGUUUUGAGUGGUAAACUUUAUUUGUUUUGUUUUCAUACAGGUCAAGACGAUUUUCCUUCCAACUGAAAAACCUUUUACACUUGAGGCAUGUGCUCCGUUAAUAGCUACACUUCCUCUGGAGGUCAGUUUCAUUUAUAAUUGUUAUGGAGUUCAAUUUUCUAUUUUCAAAACCAGUGUAGCCUUCUGUUUAAGCCAAAGCUGUAUUCAUAACAGACAGCACAAAAAAAAGAGGACCUCCCAAGACAGAAAUGAGCGAGGCCCACUGAUCUACUUUCUAAGGGAUCAACUUCUAUCUUUGUCCACAUUUUGUUGAAAACUAGCCUUCUUUAUGAACUGAAGGUCAUACUUUCUUCAACAAAAAGCUGAAAAGAUGAAAAUUCAUUUGAAACUUAGUGUGAUUUCUACAUUGCCAAGAGGCAUUUCACUGUACAGAGCCAAAAGGAAGUGGACUCAUCUUCAUCGCCAAGAGGCAGUGAGAUGUUAACUAAAGGUUCACAUAAUAUAUAUCUUUUUGGAUGCUCUUGAAGGGAUAGACCGACCGUUAGUGACUGAACCUACAACAGCUUGAGAUGGGUAUGCUUCAAAGUUCACAAUACUUAUGAUAAAAAAGUUCCAUUUCUCGAGAAAUGAUGUAGUCAAGGGCAUUGGUAAUCACCAUUCAAGCACGUAUUGACCCUCUUUCUCUACUCUAUCUUUUUCAUGCCUAAUGUGGUUUGUAUCUGUUGGAAAUACAAACAAAGUCGAUCAUGAGUAUUUAAGUGGACAACUGUCUCCAAUGGUUGAGGCCUUUUGGGUGAAACUAAAACCAAAGGCAUGAAGGCUUAUGCUGAAAGUGGACAACAUCAUACCAUCAUGGAGAUAUUCGGAGGUUUUUUAUGCCUAAUAAGUGGUCUUAGAGCCAUACCCUUGACUUAAUUGUGUCGAUACAAAAUUCAUUGUUGAAAAAAAGCCCACUAGUGCAAAACAAUAAAAUGACUGAGCCUUAAUCACAUAGUCAUAGUUUGUCAAUAAUCAUUGUGAAUCCAUGGUUGAGCUUUCAGAUAGGCAGUGUGCUUCAAGGAGUGGCUCGGUUUAAAAGUAAUAUCAUCGAAUCUAUUUUGAAGGGCUGACUAUUGGAUGGGAGGCUCAAGGUGGUACUUUGAUCAAGAGAGGAGUGUCAGGAACACAAACAAAGUCCCACAUUGGCUAAAGAGAAGAUUAUAUAAGCGAGGAUAACUAGCUCCAGUUGUAUGAGACAUUUUAGGUGGAACCAAAAGCAGAGUCACGAGGGUUUAUGCCCAAGUGGACAAUAUGAUAUGAAAUAACGAAUGCUUGAAAGAGUAUACAUCUGACUGUACUUGGCUCAGCUAUAAUUAAAAUUCUCUGAAGUUCCAUUGGGAAUGUGCCACAUGCUAGUGUUGGAUAACGCUUUAAUCUUCAUUCCACUCAACCACAUGGUUUAACUACAAAAUUCCCUUACUGCUUCCUUUCCUGGAUACUCUUACUCUUUAACUUUCUCAAGCUUGAAAGAGUUAUUUAGUAUUUUUAAGUUAAUUAAUGGUUUAUCUUCAUCUCUGUUUUCCUCUUGCAAGCUUUCUUGUACUUACUGCACCAUCUAUAUUUUCCCAGAUUCGAGGAAAGAUUGGUGACUUCAUAAUGGGUGUAUUCAAUGUAUUUCAAGGUACAAUAUCUGCUGAUGAAACCAUGUCCUCAUAAAUAUACUAGAGAUGAUAUUAGGCACAUAUAUGUGUCACUUAUCCAACAGAGAAUAAUACUGUAGCUAUUUUCAUAGAUUUUCUGUACAUAUGUCCAUAUGCUGUCAGAUAAUUUUUCCUCAAAGAAUGCAAAAUAAUGGUAUUUGACUCUAAAGUGGCUUAAAUUUUCUACAGAUCUGGACUUCAGUUUUCUGGAGAUGAAUCCAUUCACCCUGGUGAACGGGGAGCCAUAUCCACUGGAUAUGAGAGGGGAAUUGGAUGACACUGCUGCUUUCAAAAAUUUUAAGAAGUAUUCAUUAAUUAUAAUAUUCUCAGUACUUUUUUCUAACAUGUGCUUCAUUUUUUAUUAACAAAAUUUUUCUUAUCUUGUUCAAUAAUUCUCAGUUUUAAAAAAAAAACAUUUACCAUAUGAAAAUGCAUCCUUUGUGACGUCUCAUUUAUGAUAUGCUGUUCUCAGAUGGGGAAACAUUGAAUUUCCUUUGCCCUUUGGUCGAGUGCUAAGCUCUACAGAAAGUUUUGUUCACUCUUUAGAUGAAAAGGUAAUUCAUUUUGAGCCAUCAUUGAUGCUUAGAAAUAACCUGAGUUUUCACGGCUCAAUAUUUGACUGAAGCCAUGAAGAUUUUUUUGAGUACUCCCUGAUGGUUAAUAAUGGUAUAUAGUUGUAAAUUAACCAAUGAUUUUAUCCGAGUAUUAUGAUAUUUAUGAUGAUCAAAAGGACACCAUAUCUUGGAUUCAUGGGUUCAAAAAAUUUAAAAUAUUAAAUGUUGUAUGGUUUCUUCUUAUAAUGAUUUUUUUAAUCGGGAGUUGUUCCACAAGAUUGGUAGAAGCAUAAAUAAUCUAGUCCAAAUACUAGUAAGAAAGGGUAAAAAUGAAGUGUAUAGAAUUAGAAUUUGCAUCUCUACAACAGAAGGCAGAAGUUUUAAUAACAUUAUAAUGUUGAUCGUGUAGACAAGUGCAUCCUUGAAAUUCACUGUUUUGAACCCAAAAGGGCGCAUAUGGACAAUGGUGGCAGGAGGGGGUGCUAGCGUUAUAUAUGCGGAUACUGUAAGUGGUGCUAGUACAAUGCAUGGACUUUAUAGUUUUCCUCUAGCUGAAAGCAUGGAGCUGUAUAUGCUCUUGAUGAUUACGUUUUAUGGUCCAAAGACAUUGCUACUGAUGCCAUAUUGUCUAUUACUGGUAGGUCGGAGAUUUGGGUUAUGCAUCUGAGCUUGGUAAUUAUGCGGAAUACAGUGGAGCUCCAAAUGAGGAGGAGGUGUUGCAAUAUGCCCGAGUUGUUAUUGAUGUAAGAAUUAGUGUUUACACUUUCAGUCCAAGCAUCUCCAUAUGUCGGGAAUAAUUUUUUUGUCAUGAAACGAUUUAAUUAAUUUUGAAUUGUGAUGAAAUUCAGUGUGCUACUUCUGACCCUGAUGGGCGGAAGCGAGCCCUUCUAAUUGGAGGGGGAAUAGCUAAUUUCACAGAUGUUGCUGCUACUUUCAAUGGAAUUAUCCGAGCUCUAAGAGAGAAAGUGGGUUACUACUAGAAUUGAUUUGCUCUUCAGUUUAGUUUUUUCCCCUAAAUAAAGUCUAAUAUUUCUGUUAUCUACCAGGAAUCGAAAUUAAAGGCUGCAAGAAUGCAUAUCUAUGUUCGGAGAGGUGGUCCAAAUUAUCAGACUGGUCUUUCAAAAAUGCGGGCUCUCGGAGAGGAGCUUGGAGUUCCACUUGAGGUACAAUAAGUUCACUUUUAAUUCUUCUCUACCAAGUAGAUGUUGUAACCAUUUUCACUUAUCCUUUAAUGGUCACACAAUCGAAAGUGGGGUAUUGAAAUGAAUUCCAUUUAGAAAAGAGAACCAAAAGAUCAUCAGGGAGAAGAGGGAUUUUUAUGAAAUGCCUCAUUUAUAUUUUAAGGGUGUGUCAAUCUAAUUGAGAUAGUCGGUUGCACCUACUGAUCUCCAUCCUCUAAGUUAAAUCUAGUUCUUAUUACAUAUCACCGUAAUUUGAACAUUAGUUUCUUUUCAUUGCAUCAAUGAAAGAUGUUGUUUCUGUUUAAAAAAGGAUGGAUGAACAAAUCCCCAUUCUAGGCCAGUACUCUGGAUUGUGAAUGAGUGGGAGGGUGGCCGUUUGCAUUUAAGUAGAAAACACCCAGUAUUGACUCAAAUUAUGUUGGAGAUGCGGUAUCUCGUCUUCUAUAAACUUGCUGUAAUAUAGUUCCUUGAGUAAAAAGGGUUUGCACUGGCCAGAGGGGUGAUGUUGAAGAAAACAAAACUGAGCUACAGCUCCUCAAACUCAGUAUUGACGUUGUUUAUUGACGAGGAGUUGUGCUCAGGUUGUUGCCCAAGAAGUUUGUGGAUCUCACUGCUAAAAAAAUCAAAUUUUCAGGAGUUCAUAAUUCUCUGAACAAAACUUGACUCUUUGUCCCAGACACCCCCUCUAGGAUUGCAACUUGCAAUAGUUUUUUAAAUAUCGCUUUAAAAUGGAUCCUUUGUUUUUGGAGAAUGAUCUCUAAACUCUUGGGAUGAACUUCCCUGGUUUGGUUAUAGACUUGGCCUACGUUUUCCGGCUUAUGCAUUCUGUAUAAAACUUUCUUCCCUCUCUCCAUGCAGGUUUUCGGUCCAGAAGCCACAAUGACUGGCAUCUGCAAACAAGCAAUUGAGUGCAUAAUGUCUGCUGCAUAAUCCCCCAUUUCUUUUGCAGCGGAUGACAACUAAGUUGAAAGAUUUAAGAAAUAUCUUUUAUCGCUUGGUCAGUGGGGAAGGGAAAGGUCAAGGAAAGGGAGUUGUGGUAUAUGCUUCUGUAGCAUCGCUCGUUUAAUUUUGUGGUCCUUGGAAUUUGAAAAACAAUCCCUUCAUAUUUCUUUGUCAUAUGAAGAUGAUGCCAGAGUUAAGUUAUAUGUGUACUCUUUUUGACUCAGGUUAACCUGUUGUGUGCACCAUUUGUAUAACCUUUCAGUGUAUUGUUCUUAUUAUCAGAAUUUACCAUUCUCCACAACUUCGCUUUAUUUUUCCUUUUUUCUUUUUAAACGAUGCUUACUUUAAUCUUGCAUUAGCUGUGCAGCUAUUUCAUCUUCUCAUUGUCGAUUUUGUUUUUCUAUUUAUUAAAGUUUUUAUUCCAUUUUUAUACUCAAUGAUUCGUUUUAUAUGGUUCUAACCAACAAAUUUAUGUAAUGAUAUACUCUUUCUUUCGUGGAAAAUUUGAUGUGAUGAUAUUGAUAAAAAUUAGCAAAGUAUACAAUUUAAAGUCAGAAAUAUACAAUCACACUUUUGUAUUUUUAAAAUAAGUAAAUAAAACAAUUGACAAUUAUUACCUUUAACAUAAAACUAUUUUUUAAUAUAGUAAAAUGCACUAAAUUAUUUAUAAUUUAUAGCAAAAUACUAUAUUUAUGACAAUAGAGUAUUAUACUAUUUAGCAUAGAAAGAUGAAGCUUUUAAACCAUGCAGACAUAAUUAAAAUGAAAACAAGGAAAUGCAAUCAAAUCAACCCGGUUUUUUUGUUACGGCCUUAUUUAAUAUGCAUGUCAAAACGUGGCCGUUCCAUGAAAAUGGAAGGGAAAAAAUUUAACAAAUAUUAAUGGUCCCGGCGGGGCUCGAACCCGCGACCUUCGGCUCAUAAGACCAACGCUCUAACCAACUGAGCUACGGGACCUGUUCGAUAUUUAAAUGAUAUCUAAUUUAUUUAUUUCUUUUGAAAGAAAAAAGAAAAAUCUAAAAGUAGAACAAACUAAAAAAGUUAAGAAACUAAGGAUCAUUUUGUAGAUUUUUACAAAAUUAUGUGAGCAAGAGGUUAAAAUUAUUAAGUUUAAAAAGUGGGGUAAAAUCAUUUUCGACAUUGAAAUUAAGAUUAACAUACAACGAUGUGAACAUUAGUGUAUCUUGGACAUAUCUAUGAUGACUUUUUAAAUGUUUUAAAAAGUAAACCAAACAUAGCUUCAUGUUGAUCAUUCGGUCGUUUAUGAUUUAAGAAUAUAUAUAAUAUAAUUUCGCCACAUGUACGAUUAUAUUUUAAUAUUUCUCAAAUUUAAAAAUUAUAUCUAGAAAAUAAUAUUAUAACAUUAUAGAUUAAAAUUUACUUGAUAUUGAGGUGUAAUACUUGUUAUAAUUAGAGAAGACAAUUUAUAGCUUAAAACGCAUGUAAAUAGGAAUUAAAGAGUUGGCAAAUUAAUGUUAGCCCUACAAAUGCAAACCAUAAUUAGAAAUUGGAACAAAACACUUAUUAUGGCAAACUCAAUGCAACAUUAUAAAUUCCCAAGAUUUCUAACCAUUCAUUACCUUCUUCUAUAGCUAUCAAAGGAGGGCACUGUAGUUUUAGCAAUUCAAUCUCAAAUAUUUGUUGAUUUGAUAACUUAACAAUGACGUUUUCUCUGAGAAGCAUUUUCAUUACAAUUUGCAUUAUCUUGCUUAGCAUCAACAUUAACAUGAUUGAGGUUGUAAAUGCAUCGAGAUUCAGUGACUAUAACGAUCCAAUUGCUGAUGUCAGUGCUGAAUGUGGUUACAAACGUUCUUACCAUUGUAAACCACCUCGUCAAAUUCACAAUAGAAAGAUAAGUCUUAGCAGAAACAACGGAAUAAAUAAAAGUAUUUCAUGAGUUUUCUACCUCAUCGACUACUUUUCAUUGGAAUCAUUUCAUAUAUCAAAUCUAUCUUUAAUCUUUGUAACCAGAGAAAACUAUAUGUUAUUUAUUUAUUAUUACGUAUUAUUUGAAUAAUAUGAUUUGACUCAAUUAUUUAUCCAUGUACUCUCUACGUUAUUAAUUUUAUUAAUUAAGUCAAUACAUAUUUUUUCUUAAGAAUCCAAAACCAAGCCAAAAUCAAAAUUUUCAGUUAAACUUUGGUCCAAAGUCCAAUCCAAGUACUUCAUGAAUUAUUUGUAUACAUAUAUGUAAAAAUAUAGAGAAAUCAAACCUUUUAAAAUAGACCUUAUGAAUCUUGUGUACAACAAAUAAAAUAAAUUAUAUUUGAUGUCUACACAGUAAAUAUGAUAAUAUUUUAAGAAAUGUGAAUAACUGUUCAUCUUUGAUGAGCAUUUGGUUUUUUAAAAUUAAGUUUAUAUUUACUAGCAAUUUGUUUUAUUUAAUUGUUGUAUAUUUUUAAAACGGAAGCCAAAUUUUGAAAAAAAUAAUUGUUUUUGUGUUUUUAAAAUUGGAUACAAAUGGAGUGAUUAUUGAUGAAAGAUAAAAGGUAAAGUACCUCGCGUACCAAAAUUAAGAAAGAUAAAAUAUAAAUUUAUCUCGACUAAUUAAUCAAAAUUAAUCAUUAACUUGAAAUCAAAACUUGAUCUUAGAAUUAUUGGACCCUUUGAAAUGAAAAAUGUCACAUUUUUUUUUAUUUUUUAAAUAAUGAUAAAUGACCUUCAGCUCAUAUAUAGAUGAGCGGAGUUACAAAUUUGCCAUUCUGUUAGAUUUCUUUCCUAAACAAUUUUGGGGAAUUUGUUCUCUUUCCUUCUUUGGCAAAAUCACACACUAUCGUAGCUCCAAUUACGAGAGAGGAAAGUAAUUUAUAAGCAAGAAAAAACGAAGAGCAGAAUAGAAGAUUAUAUGUGAGCGAGAAAAGUAAGCAAGAGCUAGUGAGAGAGAAAUAAACUUCUCCACGUAGAGCAAAGAUUGAAAAAGUAAAAAGAAAAAGUAAAAAGAAAAAGUAAAAAGAAAAAGAAAAAAUUACUUAUCAAAAUGAGAUAAAUGGAGCCACAAAAUAAAAAGUAUUUUAUUUACAAAUAUCACAGUCAUAUAAUAAUAAUUUCUAUGAAUUUUUGUUCUAUGUUUAUAAAUAUUUUGAAAGUUUUGGGCAUUUAAAAGGAAUUAUGUAAGUUUCACAUAAAUGGUAUCAUUUCUGGCGUUGGGUGGUUCAUUGGCCUCCCGCCAUUCGAACUUUCGAACGCUCCUUCUCUGCAUUUGCCCAUCUCCUCUCUCAGUCCCUCUACUUUCUCCAAUCAUCUUUACACCAUCAGCAUGACUUCCAAUCUAGGUACCCAAAACCUUACAACAAUCCAACUCUCAUCUUCCUUUCAUUAUAUAUAUAUUUUUUGCUUCGUUUCUGAUUGUGUUAAACGGGUCAAAUUCUAGGUGGAAAGGCCAUUGAUUUGUGGUCCGAGUUAAUUGCCAGCGAGGGAAGCGACCUCCAAGAAGAAGCCUCAGUAGAAGAGGUUUAUAGACGAAGAAAGCCAACCCAGAAGACCGUUCAUCCUCCUCACCCGUAAAUUUUCUUCAAUCACUCCUUUAAUUCCUCUCUGUUUUUUACGUUGUUUGAUCAAAUCCACUGUUUCAUGUGUUUCUGUUUCAAUUUUCUUUCAGGAAGCAAAACUUGGGUUCCAAUGGUUGCAAUGUGAACAGAGUGAGUUUAGCUGCCGUUGACAGUAAGAGAAUUAGUUGGAACCGUGCCCUUUCCAUCAGGUUUACUUCGAUCUUCUUUUAAUGUUCUCUUCAAAUUUGUGCUGACAAUUCCUAUAAGAUUGUCGAUGUGGUUUUGUAUCUGCUCUAUAAAUUGUUGCUAGCAUGGAGAGUUUUGUUGUAGCUUAUCCCCUUGAAGUUGACUAUUUAAUGACUACACUGAAACACAGAGAGAAAAAUAUCUAAAUGACAAUGAUGUAAGUCUAGACAACACAUUAAUACGCUCUGGGGCAGUAGAUUAUUGAGUAAGUUAUCAUGUAGUAUAACUGCUAAUCGGAUGCCAUGAAGUUAUCACAAAAGGAUAGAUGAGUUGUAAGAACGGGUUAGAGAGAGUAGGGAUCAACAGUGUCAACUGUGCCGCCUUGGCCUUCAUAGUACAUUCUUCUUUUCUUGUAAAAAAGAGUAUCAUUCACAGACCCCAUAUAAUUUGACAUAUUGCACGUUUGUUCUCAUGCUGAGUAGGUUCACAUUUAUGGUAUGGCUAAUGAAACUCUUUAACAAGGCCUAGGUUCUCUUAGCUAGAUUUUCUGAUGCACUCAAGUUUAAGCCAUUUUAUUGAAAUGGAAAAUUUUAGCCUAAAAGCAUACAUAGAGACUAUAUUUGUACAAAAGGGGAGGCUUGCCUAACCAGCCAACAGCCUGCUAACCAACUAAACAGCCAAGAAACAGCUAUAACUAACUUAUAACAAUCAGCCUAAAUAAUUGCAAGAAAGAGAGUAAAAAUAACCACAGCCGUACUUGGUUAAGAAAACUCACACAAUGAAAGGUCCUACAUCAAACCCUUCUCACCAGAAAGAAGACUCGCCCGAGAAUUUUAGGUGCUAAGUUGUCAGAAGGUGCAAACUUAGGGAAGACAAUUGACACAUUUAAGGUGUUGCUAAUGGGCAUGGAAGGAGAGAGAUCAAUAGAACAAGCAUCAUGGCCAAUUCUCUCUAAAAUUGGAAAUGGGGCAACCUUCUUGUUGGUGAGCUUAGAAUGAGUCCUUGCGGGAAGUCUAGAGUUCUUCAUGUACCAUUACAAGAUCACUAAGUUGAAAACCCCCUAGAUGCCACGAGCCUUACGGGAAUUGAUAGCUUAUUCAAGAUGAUGUUGAACCUCUUGGUGGAGCCUCAAAACCCGCACAACCAUUAAAUCAACCUUUGUUUUCAAGAUCAAUAGAAGGCAAUUUUUGGGUGGUGGUGGUGGUGGAAGGAAAGUAACUUUUCAUUGAUUAUGAAAAUAAGCUAAUGUUCCAAAAUAGACGAUACAAAUAAUAAAAAAAAAAGAGAUACUGAAAGCAGUACAACAUCAUCAGAACAAUCUGAAUCAAAGAUUAAGCAGAAAAAAUAAAAGCUCCCAAAUUCAGACAAAUAUCUUGAAUAGAAAUAUUCACGAAAGAUUUAGACAAGAAACACCAAGAAGAAGCAUUAACUUUUGCUACUUUAAAAUGUUCAGGCCACUGGAGAUGCUUAUCUUGGAAAACUCUUUGGUUCCUUUCAAACCAAAUUUCAGCUAGUAAUGCUUUAACCGCAUCGUUAUAUGGGACCAAAGCAAAGAUUAAAAGUCCUUAUAGAGAUAGGGACAAGGAUGGGAUCUCUGCUCUAUUGAUUUAUUGAUUGAUGUUAUUUUCUAACCAAAUAAUAAACAUUCACUUAUUGUCUUCAUUUUCUUUCUCAUUCACUUGCAAUUGGCUGAGUGUAUUGUGUUUCACUUUUAUCAGAGGGAGGGUGAGUAUUGCAGUUGAGGCUUGUAUAGAUCGUCAGCGUCAAUGUAAGCAGGCAAAGAGAAAAGGAAAACCUGCUCUUCCUAAAGUAGGCUUCUUUUUAACUGGUGACCUUUGUUUCCCCUUUACUUUAUGCAGUUAGAGUGUUCUGUUCAUUUAAUCUUUUCUUUUUCGUAAAUGUUAAACCUUUUUGCAUCUCACACCUAUGCUUUGCAUUUAGUAUUUGAAGUUUUUAUGAGGUUCUUUAUUCUCUACGUUCAUCACAAGUACUUUAAUAUUUGAAAUUGGCAGGGAAAGUAUGUACAACCUACAAACUUUGACAAGGAGCGUGCAUACUUUCAAGAGGUAGAUGCUUUUGAGUUGUUGGAGGAGAGCCCUUCCCCCAAGAGCUUCAGUACAUGGACAAGCAGCCAAUUUGAUAGUUCUACAAUACCAUCUCUAUGCUCUAGAAUAGAAAAAUGGUUAAUUUCCAAGAAAUCAAAGUACAGUCUUGCACCUUCUAGCACGUUAUCAAAGAUAUUAGAAACUCCACUGGGGUCCAUUGAACCAAUUGGUGGAAUUCAUUUGGACAAAUUCAAAUUGAAAACUCCCGAGAAUUCAGCUAGAGAUAGAGAUGCGCACUGGUGCUCUAUUCAGAGAAGAUUUAUUUUCAGUAUAAAUGAUAUCGAUGCCCUUAAAAUAGAUAGCAAUGACAACAGAAGUAACAGAGCAGAAGAAAUGAGAACUGAGGAUCGUGAAGACAUUGAAGUUGCUGUGAAGAAACUUUCUUUAACAUCUACAUCUACUUCUUUCCAUAAAUAUGAUUUGGAUCCACUUAGUGCAUUAUUAGCAGUUUGUGGACAGUCAACUCCUUCCACGCUUAAAGACGUAUUCUCUAAUUAUUGGUUUGUUCGUCAGUCUGGAAACACUUAUUUUCAUGCAUUUAUCCUGCUUAGGUUUAAAAGAGCACAAAACAAUAUGUUUAGCCUUUUGUCUUCUCCCAGAUUUGAUGGUUGGUUUCUGAUUCUGUUCCCUUCUUUGCCUCUCUGAAUUCUUUGUGCACAGAGGGGUGGGAAGAGGUUCCUGAUAGAAAUGGUAUAUGGGUGCUCGAGGCAUAUCAGGGGUACAUUACUAAUUACUAAUUAACUAAGGGAGUUGGUUAUGGAAUUUGGUUAUAAACAGGGUUAGGGAGAAUAGGGAAGAUAGGCCAUAUUUUGGUGAGUGAAUUUGGGGUUGAGUGUGAUCUCAAGAUUGGGGGGUCCAAGUACCUCUAUUUUUUAUUUUAUACUUUGGUUAUCAAUUAUAUCUCAAUAUAUUUGGGUUCUAUCAAUUGACAAUUUCACCUCCAAACGGAGAUUCCUCAGUAACGUAAUGCACAAACUGUUUCUUAAGGUUUAAUCUUUUAGGGAUUUGUGUUGCUGCCCUUUAGUUUAUUGUCAAGCUUUAGCAUGGCAGACUCUAUUUGGAAGUAUUAAUUGAAUGAGUUGAUUGAGGAUCAAGCUCAACAAGUUACGGCUUUCUUAAAUCUGUUGAACUCAAGUAAUUUUGCUGAAAUUUCAGUCUCCAAUUGUCAUAGAGUCAAUAUGAUACAUUCACUUCGAUUUAUUUGUAUGCCAUUUUAUAAAUGGUUUGCGGCCACUGCUCUUGCAAUUGAAGUUGUUUUCCAGUUAAUUUCUUGGUUUACUUUAUCUUGCAUGUUGCUCAUUCACUUUCUUUAAAUUUCUGUAAUUACUUUGUUUUUGAUUCAGUGAGCUGGAAACUAUUGUCAAAGUUGGUGAAGGUACGUAUGGAGAAGCUUUCAAAGUUGGUAACACCGUUUGCAAGGUAGUUCCAAUAGACGGAGACUUGAAAGUUAAUGGAGAAAUACAAAAGGUACACUUCAGCACCAACUCAAGACUAUUCCAUCUUGGCAAGUGGCACUUGAUAGGAAAACUGUGGGGUGGGAGAUCAUGUUGACGAAUCCUUGCGUUUUGGGAAGUAGAUUUUUAACGCAUUGACUUUUUUGAAAUUCUUUCCUAUAUGUUCUUUCGUUUGUUCUUUAAAAAUAUUAUAAUAUUUGUUUCUGAUUUUGUUUCAUUCCAUUGAUUCUGAUGAAUGUAGUUUAACCAGAAUCUUGUUGUAAGUCUAAGUCAGUCAUUAUUCUAUAGGAAUGAGUUUGCUUACUUGGAGCCCCUCCUUGUAAGGGGCACUUGCAAAAUAUUUAUUAUAAUAACGUCUGUGUCACUACAUUUUCUAAAUUGCAAAAGUAGCAAAUUUAAAAGCUGAUAACUCCCUGAGAAUUCUAGAUAGCCCUCUGAUAGCUGUCUGAUAUCAUUAAUUACUUGUUAUAUUUGCCAUAUUCGCAAUGUGCAAAAAAGAAGUGCUAUUGACUGUUUUUUUAAAAUGUUUUUGUCAUCUAUGCAAUUUCCUUCUUGUAAUAUCUCUCUCUUUUCUUUUUUGUGGGCUUGGUUUUUUGUAUGAUUGUGCAUUCUUACAUUUUUUUUCUCAAUGAAAGUGAGUUUUUUCAUAAAAGAGAACUCUAAAUCAGUCAUACUUACUUUGUAUCAGAGAUCAGUAGAACUGCUGGAGGAAGUCAUACUUUCCAGAACUCUAAAUUCUUUAAGAAGUAACGAGCGCUGUGCUGAUAACUUUUGCACAACAUUCAUACGAACCAUAGAGUAUGUUUGCUCCGUAGUGAGAUAAAUAUCCAUGGUUUUCUACAAUGCCAAUACACAUCCACUGACUAGAAUUUUUUACCAUGCUUUUUCCUUAUCCGCAGUAGUUUCUUUCUGCUUUAUGUUGGGCAAUCAAACAUUUUGAUGUGAUACAAUUUUUAGUCCAAAUAUAUGGGAGAACUUGUUUCCAGCACAUUCCAUACCCUGGGUUUUGUGAGAAUGACUUUCGUAUAAAACUGGAGCAGUUUCUUAUGGAUUAUGAACUAAUAUCUACGUGAUUUUUUUAUCCAAUAGUUUAAGGGUAUGUCAAGGUUCUUAUGACGCUGUACUAGUCAAGGCUUGGGAAGAUUGGGAUGAAAAGCAUGGCUCAGAAAAUGAUCACCCGAAGGAGUUUCCGGAGAAACAGGUUUCUCUUUGUAUAGAUCAUGAAUUAUUUAUUUUUCCGAAAUUUAGAAUGGUAACAUAAAACACAAGAACGUAUUUCUAUUCUCAUAAUGUUGCUUAUCUUGUGAAAAUAAUUUAUGUAGCUAGAAUAUCAUUUGAUUUAUUUUUAUGUUUCUUCAUAUUACACAUGUAUUUGAGUUUCCAGAGAAACAUGUUCUUUUCAAUCACGAAUUACUUUUACCUACUUGGAUUUGCAUUUUAAUCUUUUACAUGUAGGUCUUUUUUUGGAUUAAAAAAAACAUUUUUUUUGAUAAACGAAGUGAGGGAAAAACCCCAAAACACCUAUAGGUGAGUACAUGUAGCCAUGUUAUAAGCGAAAGAUAAAACAUAGAAACGUAUAUUUGCUCACAUAAUAUUGCUCAUCUUCUGAAAAUAAUUCUUGUUGCUAGAAGAUCAUGAUCAUUUCUUUUUUGUAUUUCUUCGUAGAUACCAACAUGUCACUUUGUCGUAAGAUCUCACAAUGUAUGCCUUAAGUAAUGGCAUUAAAUUAUUUUAAAUAAAAUGUCAUAUUAUGAUAUUAGAGGCUUGAAUUGUGUAAUUUAUCUGGUUGUUGACUCUUGCUGAUGUUCUGUACAGCUUUAUGUUGUGUUUGUUCUCCAACAUGGGGGAAAAGAUCUUGAAAGCUUUGUACUCCUAAAUUAUGAUGAGGCCCAAAGCUUAUUAGUACAGGUUUGCAAUGGAUUUUACUAGCGUUAUUGGCUUUUGAAGCUUCAAUCAAACCAAUUUUGACGAAUUGCAGGUAACUGCGGCUCUGGCUGUAGCUGAAGCUGCUUAUCAAUUUGAACACCGAGAUCUGCACUGGUCGGAUUAUUCGUCAAUCUACAGUUAUUUUAGUCGUUUCUUUUCUUUGGCUACUGAUUUGCAUCAUGUAUUUAUUGCCAGGGGAAAUGUACUGUUAAGUCGGAAUGAUUAUGAAGCGUUGCAGUUCACCCUUGAGAGUAAGAACAUGACCGUAAAAACAUUUGGACUUCAGAUUUCGAUAAUCGAUUUCACUUUAUCGCGAAUUAAUACUGGUAAGAGGUUUUUAAUUUAUUGUCUUUGGGGAGUUUGCACCGAGCCAAUUCCCUUCUUAAUUAAAAUUUGUUCAUGAGCUUGCUUACCCAAAAAGGGAGUUAGAGAACUCAAUGAAUGUUUGAUAUGCAGGUGAAGACAUACUCUUUUUAGAUCUUUCCUCAGAUCCUUAUCUCUUUAAGGGUCCAAGAGGAGAUAGACAAGUAAGCAACCAUUCAAUUUGAUUUCUAAAGAAUUCUUAAUCUACUUAUCUGAAAUUUUUCGUGUUACUUUUCAAUUUUUAUUUUCAUAUGCAGUCAGAAACAUAUAGAAAAAUGAAGGAGGUGACCGGAGACUGCUGGGAGGGGAGGUACGAGUGUUGUAUGCAUUUAUCUUUUCUAUCAAUUAUCAUAUCUGAGUCAAUCAUAGAGGCGAUUUUGAUAUUUUUUCCGUUUGGGAUCCUCAGGUUUUAAUUGCUAAUCGAUUUAUAGAAAAACUCAGUAUAUGCUUCGUAGCUAAUAUUUGGUAUUUUUCAAUUUAGUUUUUAUUAUUUUAAAAUUUCCAACUUAGUGCUCUAACACGUUACAAAAUUUCAGCAAUAGUCAUGUUUCCCUUCACUUCCAAUAAUUUCGUAUACAAACUUGAAUACCAAAGGCCUGAGAUAACAUCCUCCCCCCCCCCAUUAGGGAUAUCAUUCCAUUUGUUUGUAUGAGCGAAACAUUUUGGUAAUUUUCUGUUUGAACUUUAGUUUUUAACGAUUUAACCUUUCUACUUUUCAUUUUGAAACAAUUUAGUUCUUAAAUUUUAGGAGGCAACACUUUUAAAUUUAUAAAAUUUAGUCAAUUCUUCUUUUAUCAUAAUAACUUUCUCAAAAUCAAAUGUUAAAUUUUGUUAUUUAAUUUUUGUAGUUUAUAAGCACAUUUGGUUCUUAACUAAUUUUAUCAAGAAAACUAAUUGAAUCUUAAUAAUAUUUUUCAUAAUAGAGACUUAAUCAUUACAAAAUUGAAAGUGAAAGACUAAAUUAUCACAUUAUUUAAUUUGUAAACUAAAACUCUUGUCAAACUGAAAAUGUAGGAGCUAAAACUACCAAAAGUUUAAAGACUAAAUUAUUGCUUACAUAAAAGGAGAAAAAGUAAAUUUUAACUUAACAUUUUUAUUUAAGAUAUGUGGAUGAAUAGGAAAAUUGGUUGAUUAUUAACUUAAAAUUAAUUAAAAUUUAGAAGAGUAGAAAGGUCAUCUAAAAUAAAAAAGAAUCGAAAUUUGUACUAAUUUCUAGAAAUUUGGAGGAGAAAUAAGAAACUUCCCUUUCUUAGAUGAUCUUUUUUCUCCUAUUAAGUUUUUGCUAAUUGACGAAGUAUUAUAACAUUUAUUCAUAAAAAGGGUGUAUUAUACAAUGCAUGUUUAUCAUCUAUAAAUUUAACAUUUAUCAACUGUCACAGACUAACUUGAAAAAUGCUAAUCAUAGGGGAUUAUUUUAGAACUACUAACUCAUAGGGAUUAUUGGAACUUUUUCAAUGAUAUGGACUAGAUUAAAAAAUACCCAAACAUGAGAGACUUAAAUAUGUUUACCCUUUUAGAAAUAUCCAAAAAAGAUGAGCUUGUGCUGGAUUUGCUUCUUGGUAAGCGUGCAGAAAGGAAGAUUUUAUUCUAGUUCUUCCCCUUCCUCUCCCCCUUCCUCCCAGCUAGAGCAACCACGGUGAUUCUACUUGAUAUGAAUCUACAACUCCAUCGACAAAGUUGAUACAUCUAAAGUUAAAAAAUAUAAUCGAUGAAAUUAGCAAGACAAUAUGCUUUCAAAAUAUAGUAUUUAGUAGUAAACAUUUUACCUUCCGUCAUACUAACCCGAUACAUUUUGCUAUUGAAAAUUGUAUGCGACUCAUAACUGAAACCGUUGAUUUUAUAUUCAACAGCUUUCCUAGAACGAACGUCCUGUGGUUACUCUACCUUGUGGAUAUAUUACUUCUGAAGAAAUCAUUCGUAAGUUUUCUCUAUUUUAUCAGGAAAUCAAUCAUAAUCCUUCCUUAGAAACCGAAGAAUUGAAUUUAGCUUUUAUGAACAAUCACGUUCAGUUGUUAGAGCUUACUGAUUGCUUUUCUCAAAAACUUCUAGAGUAGAGUUAUCAAACGAUUUUAUUUACGCUUUAAUUACUUUUCUGGAUUUUGAUUUUGAAUCUAGAUAAGUUCUAGAUUUUCUUGGUUGUAUUGUUUCUAAAGGUUCGUACAUAUUCAGAAAGUUUAUUUCUGAAUUGGUUUUAUACUUUUAUAUAUAUAUUCUCAUUCUGUGUCUGUCUGAACAAAAUUUGGCGAAGUACAAGGUUGAUUAUUCUGAAGAUUCACAUAAAAUGUAAGAUAAAUAUUUUAGCUAUUCUCCUUUUUGUUUUUCCUCCUGCUGUGGUGUUUACCUUCUAGGAGAUUCAGAUAUCCAAUAAGGUGUACAUUUACAGUGGUUUUGGAAAUGUUUUUGCUGUCUGAAAUGUCACUGGAAAAUUUUGAUUGAAAGGCUGUCGAUAUUAUCCAGGAGCGUAGUUCAAAACAUGAAAGGGAGCUGCGUGCAUUCAAGAAACGUCUGGACAAAUAUACUUCAACAAAAGAAGCAAUUUAUGAUCAAUUUUUCAGUGAGUUGAUUGUUUGGUCAAGCAGCGUGGAGUAGAGCUGGAUGACUUGGACUUUUCCAACAUGAUGUAGAAUGAAGUCCUGAAAUGUCAUUGCUAUAUAAACUACGUACUGAUGUGGUUUGCACCAAUAUUUUGUAGGAUAUUGCCACCUGCCUGUGGAUCUAAUCAUGUAAAUAAAUCACGGUAACGUUUAAGAAAAUAUAGACCAAAUUUACAGAAAUGUUAGGUAUAAUGGCAAGGUUUAUUUUAAUAACAUCUCUUUAGAAUUUUAUGUUAUCUUGUUUUUCGACAGUGACGUUUCUCAUUUCAUUAUGAAUUAUCUGAGUUCUUAUAGUUAUGGAAAAUUAAAGGCAAACUUAUCAGAGAAAAAGGGGACUGAUAGGUGAUGAUUUAGAUAAAUUUGCUUUAGUAAAAAGUAGGUGCAUAAUAUCAUCUUUUGCAUCAUAUUUACUUUGCGAUGAUCUCUAAGCCAAUUGAUUUGAGUCUUUGUUAGAACAUCAUCUGAAGAUGUGCUGGCAAACCACUACCAUUUUAUCUUCUACUAGAAUCGUGCAUAUGCAUGACAUAGGCUCAAUUCUCAAGGAUUGUGGCAUGACAGACCAAUACAUGAACCAAAAUUCGAUUCCUCUGGUUCUCUAAUUUCCAUUUUUGGGCAGGGAAAAGCACUCUUCUCUUUUUAUCAUCUUUUAUAUUUCUGCUGGAGAAUUACUUUGAAAAGCUAGCUUUUCAUUUUUGUUUUCUGAACUAUUCUUAGGGAUUAUCUUGGGUGCCUUUUCUGAGUUACUAUAUUGUGCAUUUAAAUUAUUGUUCUCAAGUUCGUGACUUAGUUUUAAAACAUGUUUUGAUUCUAUAAUUGGGCAUCAGAAGGUGGGCGUAUGGCUUUAUGCAGGAAAGCCCAAUGGAGAAAUAUAAAACAGGUGAUUGACGGUAUGGGCACCCUCUCUCUCUGAAAUGUAACAUGUUUGCUUUCGGCUUUGUCUAGUCACACAAGGUGCUUUUGAUCCAUUGAUACGAAGAACCAAAGCGUCAUAGGUAAUUUCACAUGCAUUGUCCCCACUCCCAUUGUAUAUUCUAAAUCUUAAUUCCACGUCCACUAUCACAGCAGCAACAGAACCUCUAUGGCAUGUUUGCGGAAAGUAGCAAAAAAACCUUUUUUUGUGCCACUUGGGAAAGCCUUUGCAGGAUCAACCUCGUUUCAAAGUCUGCAUCAUCUUGUGUAUUCUUUUUUUCCUUUUGUUUUGUUGCACUCGGCAUAAACUCGGAAGUUCUGCCCAUUAUGUCUCAUUUUUUCCAAUAAUGGCUGUCAAAUCUUGUUCCUGAAGUAAUCUCAAAAGGCCAAAGUCUGCAUCAUUUCAUCCUAAUCCCAAUUCCCAUGUUCAUCUAAUUCUCUCAUUUCUUUCUUUUCCACCUCUAAUAAACUAUUUGCUUUGUGGGUUUUGCUGAGCUGAACACAUUUGACUCCAACUAUAUUAUUUUAAACAUCCACUGAAUCCGUCCAGAGACAACUUUUAUCUCUAAUGUUCUUUAGACUUUAAAGUCGAAUUUUGAGAAAUCAUAUUUUGUAUUUAUUGGAAUGGUUGUUAGCUUAUUGUAUAUUCAAUUUAACGUAUAAACUUUAUCGGUUGAUUAUCUUGUUCCCGAUUUCAAAAGAAAUUAGGUCGGAGAAAAGAGAGAAAAAAGGAUUGCGAUUACUUGGAAAGGGAAGUGAAUGAAAUCACCAUAGCUUAGUUGCAGUCAUGGGUGCAUGUGUACAAAUGCACAUGCAUGUUUUCUUCUCCUGUAGUUGUGCUAUGGUUGAAUGUUACUUUUAUUAUCUUUGAGGUUAUUUAUCUUUUGAAAAAAGAUGGAAAAAGCAAAAAAGUAUGGAUGGCUGGUUCCCUUUUUUCUACUGCAUCAGAGCCAACAUUUCCAAUAUCAUCCUUGCUCAUAAAGUAACCAUUUUUUCCCUUUCUUUUAUCAAUAAUCUAUUUCUUUCUUUUAUAUUGCAGCCGUAAGCAUUUGCAACUUGGUCAUCUGUCUACUUUUCUAACCUUUACCUUCUUCCUUUUCCCUCUCCCCUCCUUUCCCUUUUUUUUCUCUCUCUUUCACUUUGCAUGUUUCGCCCUUAAACCCUUUCCUUUUACACCAUUUCCCCUGUCUGGUUUCGUGUUUUUAAAAGCAAUGCCUAAAUUAAACCGAUCCCAUUAAGAAUCCAGUUGGGUCUCUUCAUUUGUCCCCAGAAGAGAACUAUAACCUCUCACCAUUAAAAUGGCCCAAACAGCUUCCAAAUGCUUCUUUUUUUCCAUUAUGUCUCUCCUUGCCAUCUGCUCGUCUGGUAAGCAACUUCCCCUCUAUAACAGAUUAUAGAUCUAGCUCAGUUUGUCGUUUUCUGCUCUGAUUGUGUCUUGCUCCCUGCGAGUUACAGCUUCUUAAUCUAAGCUUUGCAUUUUUUUGUUCCCACUAAUGGCAUUUCCUGUUUUGGAGGUUUUGUUUCCUUUCUGUUUCUGAAUGCUUCCGCUUCUUCCAUUUUCGCAGGUAGAUUUGGUGGGUCGCAUUUGGGAGUGGAAGAAAAUGCUUCCUCGGAGUUGAAGUGGAAGUUCCCUGAAUUUGGUCGGACUACAAUGCACGACGCCACAACAAAUUUUCCUACAACCCCGGACACCUCCACACCGACAAUCAUCACCGUUCCCUCGACCAACCCUGUCACUAUCACUCCGUCGAGCCCUGCUGCCACGCCGGUGUCCAUUCCUUUAACGACACCAUUCACAGUUCCGGCUAACUCUCCGGUGCCGCUCACGAAUCCGGUUGCGCCGCCGGUUACAGUUCCCGGAGCACAGCCCAUAACGAACCCUGUCACGACGUAUCCAGCUCCGUCAGGUGGCGCUCCAGUGUUGACACCCCCCACAAACCCAGUUCCGGUAUCCCCUCCGGCGACAACAAACGCACCGGUAAUUCCAGGACAAAGCUGGUGUGUAGCCAGGUCCGGCGCUUCGGAGAUGGCUCUCCAGUCGGCGUUGGAUUACGCUUGUGGCACUGGAGGGGCUGACUGUUCUCAAAUCCAGCAAAGUGGAAGCUGUUACAACCCAAAUACACUUGAAAACCACGCAUCUUUUGCAUUCAAUAGCUAUUUUCAGAAGAAUCCUUCUUCUACAAGCUGUGACUUUGGAGGAUCUGCAAUGGUUACCAACUCCAAUCCAAGUAAGAGAAGACGUUCAUUAUUUUUCAAUACCCCCACUUGUUCCUCUGUUUUUCGCAAUUGAUCUUCUUUUCUUUCGACAGGCACUGGCUCUUGUAUUUACCCAUCAUCAUCUUCCUCUGCAACGCCGGCAUCCAUGACGCCGUCGGUUCCAACGCAGACACCGACAACAACAGCGCCGAUCACAGUCUCACCAACUACAGUUACAAAUCCAACAACUUCUUCACCAGUGGGGACCGGCAUGCCAGAGUAAGUCCUCUGUUCACUUCUCAUGCCUUCGAAUUCAUAGGUUAAAUUAGGGUUGAACUACACGUUUAGAUAGCUUAUAAUAUAUCUUCAACUUUUAAAAUGGUAUCCAUCUGAUUUAUUUUAUUUACAAUCUUCCAUUUCAACUUGUUUUUUUUUAAUAAACUCAGAUGGUUUAAUACCUCUGCAUCUUACAUUGCUGAAGGAUUAAUUAUUUCUGAAGUGUAGAUAAAACAUAGAAUCUAAUUUGGAUGGAUGUGGUGUUUAUAGGGUUUAUUUUUAAAAAAUUGAAGCUUGUUUGUAAAUAAUUUAAGUUUUAGUUUUUAGUUUUUGAAAUUUAGCAUAUAAAUACUGGGUUUAGAUCUUGUUUUCUUAUCUACCUUUUAUUAAUGGUUUAAAGAACAAAGACUCAAAAGAAGUAAAUUAAGUUUUUUUUAAAAACAAAAUUGACUAAAAAAUCAACUUACAUUAGAAAAAUGCAAAUAAUUUGUAAGAAAUUAAGAGAAAAUAAAUAAUUUUCAAUAGCUAAAAGCUAAAAAACAAAAUGGUUGCUGAACAAUUAAAAAUCAAUAACCUAGUAAUUAUGGAACGGUUAUGAAAAGAGAAAUUAAUUAAUAAUCCAUGUUGUUGGUGUUGGUGCAGAAAUGGAAGUCCUCCUGGUGUAUUUAACACAGACAAUCCAGCUUCGAGCAUAGGCAGCACAACGGGGUUUGGAACUGAGAUUCCUCCAAGCUCAAGCACCUCAAUAUCCGUAGCGGCUGGAUUGAGACCCUUUACUUGCUUCAUCAUUCUCACCAUGUCCUUCAUCACUCAUAGAAUAAUCACUCUGGACUGGUGAUGAAAUGAAAUCACUAACUUCUUCUCCUUCUACUGUACAUGAAAAGGCCCUCGUUAUUCAUAGCUUCAGAAUCGUCGCCCAGUUCCACCAUUAGUGCAAUUUUUGGAGGAGAAAAAGGAACCAGAGGUGAGUUUGAGUUUGGAAGGAUAAACCACUGCCACUGCCCUGCUUGAGCUUUUGUUUGUGUAAAGAUCAAAGAUAGGGAUGUAUUAGUAUUAGCUACUUCCAAUUUGAGACUCUGUAAUAUAAUAUAAUGUUUGUUAGAUUUUGGGAUUUGUAUUGCUGUUGAUCACAGUUUAUUAAGAUUAAAAUUUUAGUUAGAAGAAACAGAGACACAUAGCUGGACUUGGAAGUACUUCUGUUCCUAUGUUUAAGUCUUGAAUGUUUUGUAUGGUUUAAUGAUUAAUUUAUUGUUUAUUUACGUAUGACUUGGCAAUUGCAUGAUGAGCUGUUGCUGAAUUUUUGUUUGAAAUUAUAUGGGUUAACUUGAUCCUCUCCAUCCAGUAAACACAACAGUACUUGGAACUUGGAUGGAAGAUUAGAAAGACCAAAGACUUAAGCAUUAAGCAUCAAUGUGAGUACACUUGAAUUGAAUCUUAGACUAAAGUUCCUGGACGUUACUAGUUGGGGAACAAUCUUAGAACAAAAUAGUGCGACUGCUGAUGUGAGAUCUACUCAUUUGAGGUGUCUAACUUGCAAAUAAAAUGUUACACACAGUUUUGUUGUUAGAAAUGAGGUGGAAAGAUUUCCGCUUAUCAUUAAAGAAACAUUUAAAAGCUGUUUGGAUCUUUACAGUACAUCUAGAAGUAAUUCCAAAUAUUGCAAUCAAACUCAAAUUAUUUGUAACGAGCAAUUUGCGUAUAUGGUAAAAUUUAAAUUUAGUUCUCAAAAUCUAAUAAUUUGCAUAUAUGAUAAAAUUUAAAUCUAGUUCUCAAAUCUAUAGAUGAUAGAUCAUGACAUUGCUAGGAGCUCAUCAAUAAUGAACAAUAUCAUUUGGGUUUGGUUCAAGAAGUUUGGAAAUAGAAGCUAUGAACUAUACUUUUUUAGUAGGUUCCACUACUAAAAGACAUAAACUUUACUCAUUGCUAUUCCACUUUUUUUUCUGCUACUAAUACAAUUAUUCAGGUUAAGGAGUGAGAAUUGAGGUGUAGAGUUGAUACUUAUGAAAAGUAGAUUAAGAAAGUAAAUGCAGUUACGUAAUACAGUAAAAGAUGAGUUUUAUUAAUAAAUGUAAAAGAGUAUAAAAAAUGAAUAUACAAGUUCAACAGUGUUUCUCAAAAUGUACUUCUGUCUUAAAAAUGAGAAUGAAGGAGAGAUCGUUGAUGAUUUGGAAGCAGAAAGUUGGGAACUUAGUCGGCCAUGCAGACAUGUUAGAACAAUGAUUGGAAAGUGACAUUUGGUGGAUUAAUUUAGUUAAAAGCAAUAUUUACCACAAUUUCAAUAAUUGUGGCCACUAAUGUUUCUCCAAUAUCAAUACUCAAAUCUCAAGGGUUUGGAGUCUCUUACUACUCAAGAGGUCUUCAAAAUCUUGAGCAAGUUUAAUACCAACAACUCUUGAUAUCUUUCAGAUUUGUUGUGCUUCAGCCUUCAAGUAUAUGGAAGCAAACUAAAAAAAAUAAUCCCAAGGAAUAGAGAUAGGUAGAGAAACAAAAGUAGCCGUUGCCACCAACUUCAAGAAUUGGAAUUGGAUUCCAAAGCAGUAACUUAACAACCCAUUUAUUAACUUGCAAUCAUUUGAUUACCUAUUUCACCUAACCACCACUUGAGAUUUAUCAAACUUUUCUAUAUCUGCCCAUACAGCUCCCACCAUCUGUUAACAACUAUAUCCAAAAUGGAAUGGAAUUAAACAAAAUUGCAGAAGACAACGCAAACAUUUUAUCUACUUUACCAUUUGAAUCUAAAAGAAAAAUAAAUUCUUCACAUGUCAACUCAUAAGGUAUUUCACACAUAAGUUCUUCAAAGAAUACUAAUUUUUUUUAUUGGAAACGUGGUCUUGAUCACGGCAUAUUCCUUCAAGAAGAGUAUUUUGCCUCCUCCUUUCCUUCUUAAUAUCAAAAGAAAUGCUUUUUGAGUACCUGAAGUAUUUAUGAACACUUUUUCCACAUAUAGCCAAAUAUCAAAUUAUGGCUUUGAUUAACAAAAAAUAUACCCUCAGCAUAAUGCAAAGUAAAAUAAACCCUGCUAGAAAAGAAUGAAAAAAAUGGAUAACUCAAAGCACUAUUCCAACAAUAUAUUAUCACAGUUCUGAGACAAUGAAAACCACAUUCAGUUCAUUCAAUCACAAUUCUGAGUUAUUUUCUCUACGAGACUAUCACCAAUCUCAGGAAUGAGAAGACACGGUUGACCAAAACUGGGAGAGGGUUUCAGAAAACUAAACGAAUGUUGCAGUAAUAUGCAAAGUAAGAAUGUGGCAAGUACACAGAAUAAUUUGAACUUCAAUUAAUCUACAUUUUUUACACCAUUGCUAGGAGAGGGCCCUUAAAAAGAGAACUCAGAUAAACUCUAGACCACCCCAAAUAUCAAGAAGGAAUAUCUCUAAAAAAAAAAAAAAACUCACAGGCAAUUGUGCUAUCCUCACUACAUGAAUUCCUAAAGAGCCAGGUCAAACCCAGUACAAAAGUAGCUCAAUGAAUUUUCAUACUUUAGAACAAUAUCAUUUAGCAAAAGACCAAGGAAACCAUGAUUUGAUCAAUUCUUGGCUCUGUAUCAUGAAAAGGGGCUAUUUUGUGGUAUUAACAGUUCCUCCAAUAUGAUCAUUUUUCACAUGCUCAACUUCACCAUUCUCAUUCUUCUCCUUCUCAUUUAAUAAACCAAUGUUGUUGUUACUCUGUAAACGUUCAGCAACCUCAACAUUUUUAUGCCUUGCAGAUUCCUCCAUGGAAGCAGCCGCCUCAUUCUUCACCAUUGACAUCUGUCUCACAAACCCAUUUAAGCUCUCCCUUCUCUGAGUUAAAGCACUACCAGUGUUCAAAGUUGAUACUGCAGGCAUCUCAAAAGCAUUCUCUGCUUUCACCGUAGGACCCAAAGUCCUAUUCCUCUCUUUCUCCUUCACUCCCAAAUUCCCAGAACCUGAAACCUCCACUGAAGCCUCUUCCUUACGCCUAGCUCUUUCUCUAGCCACAACAAAACCGACAUGCUCAAGAGCCUCUCUUGCUCUCUUCCUCGCCAUAGCCGCCUCCCUCACUUUCCUCUCCGCAUCCGCUCGCGCCACAAUCACUGCCUUAGCCAUCGAUGCAGAGGCAAUCUUAGCCGCACAGAGCAACACCACAGCCGUCUUCCUAUCAAUAGACUUAGGUGAAAUUCGAGGCUUUGAGUCGGAAUCGAAAAAUGAAAAAUUGGGCUUGGCGCAGGGAGGGCAGAGAUAAGAGGAGGAGGUAGUGGAGGACAGAAGCUGAGGGUCGGGGCAAGCCGGAUUGACAACGCAAUGAGAAUGCGUAAUAGAAGAACAUUUAGAACAAGUGAAACGAUUGGAGGGAUGAGGAGACACAGAAAGAUCAUAGAACUGGAAGCAAGAAGGGCAAAACGAACUGGGAUGAAGACGAAGGACGCAGGAAGUGCAAAGGCGACGAUUAAUACCUCGUAUACGAACGUGAUGCAGAAUCCAUCGACCUUGAGAGCCGCAAUUUCCACACUCCUUCAGCAUUUUGGUAGGGGGAUUUGGAGUGGAAGGUGGAGGAGGAAGAGGAGGGUGGUUCAUUGAGAGACGUAAUAGAAAGAAGAAAAAAAAAACCGUAAACAAGGUAAAGAAUUGAAGAUGAAAAGAAUGGAAGAAUGAAACAAUCCCAGAAGGGAAUACUGAAUAGAAGAAGGUAUUGAUAGGGUUUCGUUUGAGUUUUGUUUUGGGUUUCAAAAGUUGAAGGAGGGGGAAAGUUGCAGAGAAAUUAAAAUUAGGGUUUGCAAAUUUGCAAUCAACUCACUGUUGGAGAAGACAACCAAAAUACAAUUUUCAAUAUUCUCAUAAUAAUAAAACUAAAUUAUUUAUUUUGAAUUUUAUAAAAGUAAAUAUGGCCAUGUUUUUCUUAAUAUGACUGAGGACUUAUAAAUGGAAAUCGAUAUCUAUCUUCUUCUUGCACCAUAAUUUCAAUAUUUCUUAUAAAGUCAACAAAAUGAAAAGUUGGCAAAGACAAGACAUAAAAUAGAAUCAUGAUUUUAUUUAAUAAACAUGUAUCAUUCUCUUAUUUUCAAAAUAGGACUUAAUAAAAAUAACACUCCCUAGUCUCUACAUCAGAUUAUAUAGACUCACAAAUAAUAGAGUGCUCAAAGCUGUAGAGAAAACUUCGUUGGCCCUAGUUUUGAAUAUCGUCGUGUUCGACAAUAAGAACAUACAAGUACGAUGCAACGUCAGGACAAAUGUGAUCAAACGCAAACAUAGAUAUGUGGUACAAUUUGCAUUUAAUCUAAAUAAGAAUAUUUACAAUUUAUUUUUUAAAAAUCUAAAUAUACACAGUUGUAUAAAUGUUGUGUGAAAAACAAAGUGAACUGCCAUAUUGAUUUUAUGCAAUCAAUCCAUAUCAGUAUAAAUAUGUAUUCUCAAGACAAGUGAAGUGAUACGAUAAACUUUGACAACGGUUUUAGAUUACAAUAAUUAUCCAGUCUCAUUUGCAUGAUGUAGUUGUAAUAACAGAACACAUCACAACUCUAAGGAUAUUGUCUGUGGUAUGAUAUUUGUAUGGAUAUCUCUUCAUCAGACUAACUCACUUGGCCUCAAACAAGAUAGACAUGUCAGUCUAAUAGAGCGAGUAUCGACAAGUUUAAACAAGAAUAUCCACUGGAAUGAGAUUACAAGAACUCGACUUAAGGCAAGAAGGUGUUCCUUGAAGAUACAGCCUCAAAAUGCUGAUACAAAAUGCAACUUGGGAACAGUUUUGCUAUUCAUCAUCGCUAUCGUUCCCAAAAACAGAAGCUACAGGUGCUACUUUCGGUUUCUUUUUGGCUCCACCAAAAAUGUUCUGCAAUAACAUUAAUCAGGAAGAAAUUAGAGAAGAUUUCUCAAAUCCUAUAACUACUAGUCUACUACCAUGAAGAAGACAAAUUUUAUCCUAUGAAGAAAGAUGAAAGCAGAGCAACGCUUGUUAAGUUCCAAACAUUGGAACAUGUGAGCUGGCAAUAAUGCCAAAAUAGUGCUGCUUUGCUUCGAUCCCAUGGGAACCGGGUAUUCAACUGGUCACUUAUUGAAUCCUAAACACUCCAAAAGAUGUACCAGACACUUCAGAAUCAUUACUCAUCAUUAUGAUUCAGACCUUUGAAAGGUCUCGUUUCCUCUUCAGAGGAAAAAAAAACUCUUCAGUUACUUUAGCUUACCUUUGAGGUGCCACCUUUAGAAGAGAAUCCAAAUUUCAAUGUUUUCCGCUGAUCCUGAUCUGCAACUGAUGUAGCGUUUCUAAGUUCAGUAGAAACAGGAGCCUCGGCUGCCCUUGCUUGUUGCUCCAACAACUGCUGCUGCUUCUUACGGGCAUCUGCACUAUUUUAACAGGAAAUAAUAUAUAAAUACAACCACACGAAAUGAAAAUAUAAAGAAAAACUGAAAAUGGGAAUCACAAAAGAUCAUUUUGGAAAAAGAAAGGUGAAGAAGAAAAAAAGAGAGAUACAUUUGAGCAAAUUUGGCCAUCUCUCUCUCUUCCCGUUGCUGUUCCCGUUUGUUUCUGUCAUCCCGGCUGCUUGAACCAUGCAUUUCUCUCAUUUCUUUAAAACGCUGCAAUCCCAUGCAACAAUGCUUUAGAUUCAAUGGACAUCCAAAGAAAGGGAGGAGAAUGAUGAUUUUCUUACAAGAAAACUCUUAAUUUCCUACCUUUCUGUGAUUAUGAUCAUAUGAGCUGAGAUGGGCUUCAAACUCCAUUGCCAGUUUGUACUGUUUGUUGCAAAGAUCACAAUAGAAAACCUUGCGUAUUUCUUUGACCUCAGUUUGAAUUUUCUCCUCACGUUCUGCUAAAACCUGGAUUUUCAUAAUGUGCACGAAGCGGGCAGUAGAAGCCACCAGGUAAUAAAAACUGCAGGAAAAUCUGAAGACCUUCCAAAGUUGAUGGUCCCCUAUGAUAUACCAUUCCCGCUAAAAGACAUGCAUAUAUGCUAUAUGCUACCUUCUGCUAUUUGAUAUGAGUUUCAGAAAGAGGAAAGCAUCAACCUCAAAGUCUUAGCUAAUAAUUAUUCAUUUUUCCCAACCAAUUGUAUGAUAAAAAUAACAUACCUCCCGUUUUUUGGCAUGUUCUUCUGUCUCCUCCACCUCAACAUCAAGCUUUUUCCGCUGGAUAUUUUCUUCUGCAGUGAAAAAAUCGUCUUCUUCUUGUUUUCCAAUUCCGAGUUUGGGAUCUCUCAUUCCAGAUUUUAUUGGCUCAAUAAUUCCUACACAAACCACCACAAGUUCCUAUUAUUUUCAUAAUGUUAGACAAACAAGUGCCAAUUAUGGAUUAAUUAUGGAUGUACAAACAGAAAAAUAUAUUUUAAAAGAGGAAUGAUCGAAAAGAUUUUGGAACCAUAAGAAAACUUUUUCUUUUUAUAUUUUUAUUUAAGUUGUAUUUCUGCUUUUAUAUUAAAAAAACUGUUUUCAAAUGGGAAACUUUAAACAUGCUCAUGUAUCUUAGAACACUGGAGUUUUAGAGGAUUCUUCCCUUUAUUAUACUCGGUUGACACUGAGCAUGGGCAGUCAUUAAACUCAUACUUGACGUGAUUACAUUAAUUUCAAAAAACAAGGAACACAAGUUCCAACUAAAAAAUAGAUGUUCUCCUUGCGUUAAAAAUCUGGUGUGCAAUUUCAUACAAACUCAGAAGAAAAAUAUAAAUCAAGCAACAGAGUAAUUCUGUUCCCAGAAUUCAAGGGUACAGUAGUAAUACAUCCUAUAGAGAAAAUCUGGUUCAAAUAUGGCGAUGGGAGUAAUUUAGUUAUGAAAUACAAGUAACAGAGGAAAGACAAGUAAUUAAAAGAUUGUAAAAUAGAGCGACCAGAAAUUGAUUUAGAGAAUUGAACUUUAUCUUCUUGCCAUAUCAAGUAGCAAUACCAUAUGAGUCAUAUCGUGUUCAGAAUGAAAUAUAAAAAAAACGGAUGACAUUUGCAUGCAAAGUCUUUGAGGGAAAGCAAUGAGUAGACCACUAAAAACUUACUGAACCUAAGGUUCAUGAGAAAGAUUAUAGAAAAUAAUACACUAAGAGGCAGAUUAUACAACGAAUGAGCAAAGCAGAAUUUCAUAUCCAGAAAAGCAGAAUACCUUGCUCAUUCUUCCCUAGUCCUUUCCCUUUCCAGCCCAUCUUCUGAAGAAGCCUAUAUCCCACAUUUGAUGACGUUAAUUGUGUGUCCAAUGAUGCUUGUUCCACAUUAUCAAGAUCAACGUUUUCUGUUGGUUUAUGGUUGAUGGGCAAGCGAAAAUCAUCUAUAAAGUCAUCACCAAGAGAUUCCUAAUAUUCCCACAAAAGAAAGAAAUAAGUGAAAUAUUAGAUAUCACAAAAUCCAAAAUUCCUUUUUUUUUUUUUUUAUAGAAAAACCAAAUGGAUUUAAAAAUAAAAUGGAGUUCAGUAAGUCAGAGAGUUAGACGUAUGUCGAACGUUUCCAGUUUGACAUGAUCACUCAGUCAUACCUGCUCCCGAGCAUAGCCUUUACUUGGGUUGCUUGUUUCCAGUCUACUACUGAAACCUCGAUAAUCCAUUUUGUAUUGCCUAUAUCAUAAAGUUAGGUAAAACCAUUACAUUACAAAUAGAAAUUUCAAGCACAAGAACAAUAAGUUAGAAAGUUCCAUGUCAAGUCCACUUCUAUUAACCGAAAGCACCAAAGUGUAGUUUCAACAGAGGACUUCACAAAAAAUUUAACCACGAAAAAGAAAAAGCUCAUCAAUUUUAUCAAUGGAUUUCAAAAUAUUCAUCAUGCGCUGACCCAGUAGCUAAAUGAACAACUCAUGGUUGUUAUAUCCCAGGAACACCAAAAUUGUAGCACUUGCAAGUUGCGAGUAAAAUAGAUGGUGAAAAGAAUUGUUCUUUUUGGAUAUUUCAUUAUGCGGUUGCUUUCAAAGUUAACAUUCAGCACAACUCUGAGCUUUAUUAAAUAAAUCUGAAGAUUUGAAGGUUUUGUCAAGAAAAUAACCUCCGAAAGCAGAAGGAUUGUAGAGUUUGGGAAAUUUGGUCUUCCACUUCCUAGUGGAUCCUUAAUUUCCCUAAUUCCCUCCUACAUAACCACAGUUUCAUAAUGAGGGAAUAUACAUACAAAAAAGCAGCCAACAACAAGAUACCCAUGAUCAUAAAUAACAGCAUAAAGAGGCGGAAGUAAAAUUGCAACUACCCUAAGAAGGAGGAAUCCGAAGUUAACAAUUUAGCUAAAAAGAAUGCCAUGGAAAUUGGUAAAAGUAAAGUAAUUGAUUGAGUAGAAAAGCAAUGAAAUUCGAGAGCCAAAACAAAGUAGAGAAGAAAUAGCGAGGGCUACAAAGAAAGGAAAAAUGGAGGGAAUUGUAUGUGGGAAAGAAAGUACCUGAAUUUGAGAGAAAUUAGGUCAAAGAAGAUGGAAACUUGGUUGUUUCAACGAGAACCUUGAGAAGCUGCGUUGCGAUGCGACGGACCUCGUGUGAAAAUGGCAACAAUGUCGACGCCAGCGGCUGAAUUACUUUUUAAACCAAAAAUGAAAAUGUUAAUUGGGCCCAACCCCGUGGCCUUCCAGCCCAGCAUCCAUAGGCCCAAAAUAUUAGGGGUGGAUUUGCUUAUUUAUUGUAUUUUUUAUUCAUUUUUUUUAAAAAAUAACCGUUAAUUUUUCAUUUAUCAAAUGACAAGUUGUGUAUUGCUAUUCUUAUGGUUGAUAGAGAUAAAAAGUUUUCAACUUAUAGGACGACUAUAAUAACUAAUCAAAGUGUACCAACACCUUCCUACAAGAUCCAACGGAAAAUUUAAAUAAAAAGAAACAUUUAGAUAAAUGAUAAAGGUUUAGUUUUGUAACACUCCAAUAGCUUUAUCUCACUAAUAAAAUUAAAGAAAAUGAGAGAAAAAUAAACUUUUGGGUAUUUAAAAAUUAAAGUUAAAAAAAUAGACGAUUAAUUGAUUAUCGGAAGUUCAUCGAUGGAGUCACUAAAGGUUGGUGGAUCAAAGAUUGGCGAGUGACGAUUUGUCCAAGAGUUGGUCGACGAACUUGCCAACCCUUGAAACAAAUAGUAUGGAGUAGAAGAAUAGUAAAAGCAUAUGAAUUAUUUUAAAUACUUCUAAUCUUAAUCACCAAACUAAUACUAAACAUUAUUCCAAUGGAGUUGACGAUUAUAAGAUUACAAUUUCUUUUAGGAAACUAUUUCACUACAAGCUGUUAUAUAUUUUUAACAUUACAUCAUUAAACUACAAUCUUGACAUCAACAAACACACAUAUUUCUCCCAAGAAUACACAGUCAUCUUGUUGAUCCAUUUUCAACGUCAAUAAACAACACAAAUAAUAUAUUAUUAAUUUGAUGUGUUAAUUUUUCUAGGUUAAACAGUCACAAAGAAUCCUGCCAAUUAAAGCCUAAAACAUUAUUUAAAUGUGUUGAAUCAAUUCUCAUUAAAGAAUAAAUUGAAAAUACACUAAGAAACUACUGAAAACGAUGUUAAAAAAUACGACAUAUUAUAAGUACUUUGAAGGUUCAAACUUACUAAAUAAUUUAUUAGAAUCACUUUCCUUUCUACUAUUUCAAACAUACAGAGAUUGAAAGAUAUUAGAAUUAUUAAUUAUUAAUUUUGUAGUUAUUGUAUUCAACAAGUAACUAAUUCAAGCAUAUCUAAUUAAAUUAGUAGGAUGGAAUAAUAUGUGUGAUUAAAUAUUAAAAUGUGGAUACAUUUUUCCACCAAAACUUUAAUUUCAAUAUAAUCUUUAUUAAGUAUAUGUUAAUGGUUAAUGACCAAACAUACUUUUUCCUUUGGGGAUUAACCAUUCACAAAAUGCUUCGUAGCUAGCUAUAAAAUAAAUUAAUAAAUAUGUGGAAAUGGUUGGAGUUUUUAUGAGGAAAUUAAAAUGGUGUAGUCAAAGAAAGGAGACUUAAUGUCCCCACAUAUUAAUAUUAUUAGUCAAUCCAUAACUAAAAAGUAUUUAGCAUUUCUGUUAUGUAUCGAUCACACUUAAUUAAAUAAUAUAUAUAUACAUGUGUGUGAUUUUGAUUACCACGACGAUACUCUAAAACAUUAUUGGUUUUUUAUGCUUAAAUAAGAGAAUAUUUAUAAGUGUUAGAAAUGCGAAUAUAUUCUUCACAUACUUAAAGAAGGAAGUGAACAUAAGCAUAUAAGUAAGAAUAGUAAUCUUCAUUUCGUAUGAGGUUUAAAACCAAAAGUUGGUAAAAGAAUGACCGGGUUUUUUCGUGGUAGAAAGAGGAACCAUAGUUAUUUCAUGUAUCUCUUUGGGCUUUGGUUUCGAAGACCGAGUCCCUUUUUAUAGGUGGGGUGCUUUGUUGGGCUGGAGUUUUUUCUUUCUUUCUUUCAUGUCAUUGUAUUCUUUCGUUCUUUUUCAAUGAAAGUUGUUAUUUCUAUGAAAUAAAAAAUAAAAAAACAAAAGUUGGUAAAAACUUUCUACUAUAUUAUCAUAUGAAUAGGCAGAAAAACUUGUACACUUAAAAGAGAUAAUUACCUAAUUUUCUUUAUUGUUUUUGCACUAUCAUAUGUGAAAUCCAUUAGUCCUUUCAUGUGAGAAUCUUAGUAAUUAUCUAGGACUAUUUGAGAUGUACUAUUCAUGUUGUGUGUUACGUUGAAUAAAUUGUAUUGGUGAUGAUAGGGGUUGGAUGUUUCCAUUAGAUUACUGAGACCUAUAUCGUCAGUGUUGUGUUCUUGGAAGGAGAAUGAUGGUAUGCUUGUCAUCCUAAAGUUCUUGUGGACCUUCUAACGAUAGACCUACUUCAGGAAUGAGAUUCCUAAUAUUAUAUCCCUAGGAGCAUUUGGGCAGAGAGUCGAGAGAUUUGCACAGUAUGUUUGGCUUCCUCACCUCUCCCUAUCCACUCUUUAAUCAUUUCUCAUCUCCAUCGCUAUAAUUACCUGGUUGUCAGGUACAUUGAAAAUUAGAUGUGAAUAUGUGACAUGAUCAUACAAAAAUAGCAGAGAAGAAGCUCAUGGUUGGAUUGUUUGUGAUCAUUAAGCGAUUAAGCAAAAGUAGAGAGAGUUGAAUUCACCUUAAGAGGUUGAUUGAUCUAACUCGAUGGAUAUUAUCAAUGUCAUUAAUGCAUGAGAUGAUGGAUUCCUUCCUUUAUGUAAUAUAUUGAGUGAGAGGGACAUUAUUUUUAUGACAAUUUUGUUAAUGCUACGUGCUUUUGUCAUAUCUUUCUCGAGAGGAGAACAAAGUUGUCGAUGCUUUUAUGACUUUGACAUCUUUUAGUAUAUUUCUUUGAUUUAUAAGUAUAAUUUUCCAAAGAGUAUCCUCCCUAUCCUUCACUCUGGGGAGGGAAGAGUUGUAAGUCUCUCUUAUUGUUUAUGUUUACCUAAACGAAAAAAAGUCCCCAAUGUUAUUUUAGUCAAACCUCACACAUAAGUUUCAAUUGUUACAAGUCAUUAUUAUAUUUAAACACUUGAAAUGACAAGAUAAGUUGUAUUCUAUUUAGUUGUUUUUAACAAUAUACAAGAUAAUUGAAGAAUCAAUUCUCGAAUUUAAUAAUACAAAAUUAUACGUUAAUUGAAUUAUACUCACGUGGGUUGUUUUUCUAUUGAAUGGAUGACUUUGUAUUAGAUUUUAUGGUUGUUUAAGUACUAAAAGUGGGAGAAAAGGAAAAGCCUUUGAAAUAAUGGAGUAAAAUUUGAUUAAAAUAUAUGAUUGAGAAAGUUUAACCAAACUUAACGAUCAACUUGAAACUAGAACGGUUGAAGUCAAAUUAUACAACACUAAAAAUUAAAUGAUAUUAAUGAAAAAGUAUUUUCUUUUGGAUAAAAGUGCUUUAAGAAUAAUGCACUACCUUGAGUAAAGAUAAAAUUUGAAUGUCCCUUCCAUUCCAAUUUGAUAUAUAUUCAUGAUUUUCUAUAUAAAUAAGUUGUCUUAUAAUUAAAAUAAAAAUGUUCAAAUUCCAUUUAAAAGAUGCAAGCUUUAUUUUAAACGUGUUAAAAAAAGGAGGGUGGUGUUGUGAUUUUAAAGUUUAUGAUUUGACUUAAAGAUAAGAAUGGAUGAAUAUAGAACAUGAAAGAAUGGUAACAAUUAUCGUAUGGAUACUUUAUACUAUGAAAAAUCAAUAUAUCUAUUAUGAGAAUAAUUGUAAAAAACAUUUAAAGACUUGUGUUAUGAGAGGAAAAAAUAAAAAUGCGGUGAACGUGGAUCGAACACGUGACCUUCAGAUCUUCAGUCUGACGCUCUCCCAACUGAGCUAUCCCCACAUGUUGAAAAAAAAUAGCAAACUAAACUACAAAUAAAAAAAUAAUGUUUUUUUUUUGGGUAAGGUUUAGAAACUUUUCUUUUCUUUUUCAUGGUUAAUUAAGAAAACUUUUCGAAAGAUACUAAUAAGCUGAAGUUGAUAAGUAUUUUUUUUUUCUUUGUUAACCAUGUGUUUUGUAUUUGUAGAAGAGUUGGAGAGAAGGAGACACGUUUAGAAUAAAGUUUUCUAUUUUUAAAGUUUUACUUAUCGAUGAAUUUGAGAAACACAGUCACACAUGUUUUCUAAUUAGGCAUCAUUCGUUUCAUCUAGAAAUGAAGAAGUAUCGGUAGAUUCACCUUCAUCCUUAAUUGUAUCCAUCUCGAUCGAAAAAUAGAAACUUAAGAUUGAUAUCCAACCUUAAAAUAUAGGAGCCAACUCUAAUAUCAGUAUAUUGUAAGAUGAUAAAUUAUAUAAUACAUAACAACACAAGUCACACACGAAGUAGUGAUUAACAAUAUGAGUGAAGGUGACAAACUAAGCAUUGAACAUAAAUGAAAGACACACAAUCGGUAACCGAUAAUUUAUAUUGUUUCAAAGUAAGAUCCUCAACAUGUUAUUAUCAAGAUAAUACAUUUUUUGAGUUUAUCAUUAUUCUUGGAUCGAAUCCUUUUUUAUUAUUAUUAGUAUUGUUUGACUGGAAGUUUUGAUUCGGAUCGAAAGUUAGUUUUGGUUAAUUGAAUGUUUGAAUAAAGAAAAGCUUUUGUUUUGAAAACUCUUUUUAACUUAAAAAGAAAGAAUCUAACUGAAAAACAUUUGAAUUUUUCUAAAAGCUUUAACACAGUUAUUCUUGUUUACCAUGUUUUAAAACUAAUUUAAAAUCAACUUCAAAAUUAAGCUAAUUGUAAUGCCAUUGCCUAAUUACUAGUUAAUAAGUAUUUUGAUGUAUUCAUUAUAUUAUCUUAUAUUUUGGUUAAUUUCAUUAUAGUAUGUAUAUUAAUAUAAUAAAUAGAGUGAAUUGGUAAAUUAAGAAUGAUAUAUAAUAUUAACAUGUGUUAGAGAGUUAAUGUAAAGAAAUGAAUGAUAUUAACUUGUGAUCUCUUCUAACUAUUGAGGGGUACAUUUAACUAACAAUAUUCACCCUUUUCAACAGUUUGAAAAAGGUACAAAUAAUAAUAAUAAUUUUUAAAAAAAGAGUGAAAAAGAAUGAAUAUUAAUUAGAAUAUUAUUUAUACUAUGAAUACUUUUCUGUGGUUUUAGUUCAGUGGUUGCAUUUUUAAGCCACACAGUUCCUUUUUAAUUAAUGGGGAAAAUGAAGAAGGAAGAGGGAAUCCACUUUUUAUUUUGUUUCUUUUAAUUUUUAGUUUCAAAUUAAUUCAAAAGCUCCCAUCAUUUACCUACAACUGAAUAAUAAUGCAUUGAACACAAAAUAUUCAAAAGUUAAGAAAAGCCCCCUAAUGCUUAAUUAUUUGUAAAAUCCUUUUUCUUUUCUCCACCAAAUUAUAUUCCCUCUUCUUUUCUUUUCUUUUAGGGUUUGUUUGGGGUUUCAAUGGCUGACAGCUAGGGUAGAGGUAGAUAGAUAGAUAGAUGUUUAAUCAAAGGGGGAGGGUAUAUGAAGUAUGAAGCAGUUUCCCCUAUUUUACAAACUGUUUGGAAAUGGGGAGGUACAUGUGGAUAUAUAUGUGGGGGUAAGAAUUUAUUCAUCCCCAUCUCUCUCACUUCUAUAUCAUCGAAUCUACUCAACUUUUUUCCUUUUUUUCUUUUCUUAUGUUUAACUACUUCCAUGAAACUACCCCCAAAUCCAACCUAACACUCUUUUAAACACUAUCAAUUUUUUUUUCUUUCAAAUCUUCUAUUGUUUAUAAUUGAUGUAUUGUCUCAAAGUUGGUUUAAAAUAUCUAAUUAGAUGUUGAUGUAAUUUUCUUGUCUAAAUAGUAACUAGUUGAAGAUUUGAAAAAUGAAAAGCCGUAAAUUUGUAGAUGAAAAGAUAAGUAGGACGUUAAAAUGGGUUUUGGAAAAUUGAUGUCUACAAGUUAAGUGGAAGACCGUAGGAAAGUUCAAGAAGUCAAUCAAUGGAAAUUUCUUCUUUGCCUUUUUUCUAACUCACAUUGAAGCUAAGCUUAGAUCCCCUAUGACUCCGACACACCGCCAUGUUUUCUUCAAAUGCAAUAAAACUAAAAAGUAUAAAAAGAAUCAAUAAACAUCUAGAUUUGAUGAAUUUGUGUGUAUGCAAACAACACAGCCACCACACACUACAAAACAGUACAGCUGUUGCAUCCUUAAUGAAUUGCUAUGUACUUGGGUUCUUACAUAUAUUAAAAAAAUAGCUUCUUUAUGUUAUAUACAUGUUCGUUAUCCACACACUAAUUUAAGAUUUUACAUAUUGAUUUAUUUUUCAUAUUUGUAAAUAGUUGUAGGGUAUGGUAAAUUUGUUAUUAUUUUGUAUUAGAUUAUGGUAUAUGCAAAUGGGUGGAAAAUUCUAAAGAAAGAAAAAGGAAUUUUGAAAAAAGAAAUUGUUAGUUUAAAAUGAAAGCCAAAGGCCGCGUUGAAUUUGAUUAGAGUCUUUAUAAUUUUUGUUUAAAUCAAAUCAAGUUGAUUAAGUAAGUUUUAAAGGGAAAAAUAGAGAGAGAUUCUUGUAAGCAACGCGUGAGAAAAUAUAAAGAAUUACAAAAUUAGAAUAAGUUCAUAAUAUAAAAUGUUGAAAAAGAGGGAAAAUAAUGAGUUUGUGUGUGGAGUUAGGAUUAUUGUUGAAAGACUAGAGGGAACAGUAAGUUGGAAUUCCAAGUCUUUGCAAAGGGAUUCCUUUGGUCAAUAAUUUUGCCCUAAUUGAAUGCAAGAAAAAGUGUGUAUGUAAUUUCUUUAAACUCUCAAUAAUUUAACUUAAAAGAAAAGAGUAAUUCGAAACUUCCUUACAUUCUAUUUAAUUAUUCAAUCAUAAUUUAUCCUAUAUAUUUAAAAGGUAGAAAAGAAAAAGCAUCUCACUCCUACCGCCGUGAGAAUAACUAAAAUUUACUUAAGAAAUUAAAAUUCACAGCCCACAAAAAUAAAUUUACGGUCAAACACAAACACAAUUAUCUCUUUUUGAUCCCAAUUACAUAAAAAAAACAAAUAUUUUUUAAAGCUUUUAUACUAUUCAUACUCUUUUCUCCCUUCUCAAAUCAAAACUCAUCACUUAACAUGAAAUUAUUGCAACUUUUCUAAUAUUUUGCACCAAAAUUAGCUCUUUUUUCUUCCCUAAUUUGGUUAAUUGGGUGAGCUCUAAAAAGAUAAUAAUUAAUUUUAUUUUGAGAAGGAAAAAAGAAAAGGAAGAAAAGAAGAUAAUAUAAUAAUAUAAUAAUAGUUAUUAGGGGUUUAAUUUUACUUUUUACAUUAAGAUUCUUUGAGUUUUCAUAAGUUAGUGAUUUGAAUUGAUCUGACCACCUUUUUGAAGUGCUAUAAAAGGGAGGACCCCCAACCCAACCUCACCACAGUUCAAAACCCAACAAAAUUUAAACACACACAAAAGAGAAGAGAGUUUUUGGGUGUGAAGAAAACAAAAAAGAGAGUUUUUAUAUAUACUUUUUCAUAGAAAAUUAAAUUAGCAGCAGCAGCAGCAGCAGAGAGAGAUAUUAAUAUGGGAGGAAACAGGCAGAAGAAAUCUCACAACUCCUCCUUUUCCUUCUUGGGGCUCUUCAAAUCAAAAAGAUCAGUUAGAAAAGGAGAUCAUUAUUAUGAUCAUCAGCAGCAAGGCAACAGCUGGGAGGACUUCUCUUGCCCUAGCAAGGUGUGGCCAAGCGACGCCGAUAAGUGCCACCGAUGGGUGGCCGAGCCUGGCAUCGACCGAAAAGCCAAAGAUUACAUUGACAGGAUUCAUCGUAACCGCGUCUUCGAAACACCACGCCAAACCGUCACCCUUCCUCCCGAGUCCCGAUCAUAGGAUUCCCACCUGACGAUUUAACACUUCUUCUUCUUCUUCUUCUUCCUCAUUUACAUUUCUGUAUAUCUUUCUUUCUUUAUUAUUUUCUUCUCCCCCUCUCAUUAAAUGAGUCCUAGCUAUUGUAAUUCCCUUCUGAUCAACUUUGCUCAUCAUCACUUUUCCUUCUUCAUCUAAUAAUAAUAUAUUAUACAUUUUAUUCACCCAUAUCAUUUUUCCCUACAUUAGUUAGGUUUAAUUAAUAAUUUCAACAUCCUUUGUUAAUCUAGUUAAGUGAAGAUCUUCAAAAACAGCCCUCCAUUAGGCCAUAUCUCAUUUGAAACUUAAUUCAAUUUUCAAUAUUACAUUAAUCAUUAAACACACUUUUAAUUAUUUCGUUUUUCAUUAAUUAAUUAUAAAUAUUAUUAUCUAAAUACUACAUCCUGUACGUACAUUUCAAGUACAUCUACUUUCGUUAAUUAUUAUCUUAUCCAUCCACUUUUUACUUUAUUUUACUUUGGAUUAAAACAAAAACUACUUAUUUUUACUUUUAAUCGUAUUUAAAUUAUAGAUUCGAAAAUAGUCCAAUAACCCAUAACGUAGAGAUAAAAAGUAGAAGAAAUAAAUAAAUACGUUUUUGCAUGUGUAUUAAAGGUUUGAUAUUGUGUAGAUAAACCCAAGAUCAAUAAUUUUAUAAUUCCAAAAAAUGGAAGUAAUAAGAAUUUGAAAAUAGAAAUAAGAAGAAGGGAAAUCCAUUUAUCAAUCAAAGGGAUGUUUUGAUGAUGGAUAGGUUCAAUCAUGAAAAGGAGAAUUAUGGAAUUAUUUGAAUUAUUAUUAUUAUUAUUUGAAAUGGUAAAGAAAAUGGAAAAUAGUAAUUUUGGAAUAAUGUAACUAUAGUUAGGGGUUUGAAAUUAAAAACCCUAUACCAAUUUUAUCUCAGUUUUGUCUGAGUUUGAUGUAUAGACAAACCAUGUUAUGCUCUGCCAAUUUUAUUCUCUAUGUACUUGAAUGGACCAAUGUUAAUUAUAACAUUUUUAUUACAAUUGUUUUUUCUUUCUUUUGAACAAAGUAAAAAAGGCAAGAUGCUUUCCCUUAAAUUUAUUUAUUUUUUCAGUGUACAUUUGCUUUGGUUUUAAAUAAAAUUAGGCAUUACUUUACAUAUUAUAUACAUAUACUUUUUGUCGUCUAGUGCUUUUCUUCUUUUUUGGUUCAUCAUAUUACAGCUUUCAAAACGCAGUACGAAGGAAAUUCCAACCCAAAAGAGAAAAAAGAAAGAAAAUGGUAAAGGAGUAAAUAGUUAACCAUUGGCACCAUUUUUUCUUGUUGUUUAUGGCAAAAGUAAAGGUUUCUUUUAACUAAUUAGGCCCUGCUUUUGAAUUCUUUUUUUAAAAUUUUCAGUCACCAAAAUGAAGAAUUUAGGAAAGUGUAUUUAUAACUAAAGGAAUUAAGGUCUUUUAUGUGAGCUAGGAAAAACCUAAAAGAAAAGGGCAUUUUGAUAAUGCAAAAGAAGUGAAGAAGAUUGAUACAACAAAAGUUUUUUAUUUUUGUUUAUGAGAAGUGAUUGUUUUAGGCCUUCCAAAUCCACUCUUUUUUGUCUCCAUAAUGAAGUUGGGUUAGAAUUAAUUUAGAAAGUGAAUAAGCAUCAUAUUAAUAGGAAACUUUUGUAAGCUUUUCUUUUCUCAAUGGAUGACUAAAAGUUUGAGAUUUGUAAUGAGUUUUUUUCUUCUUCUCAAUUUUUAAAAGCAAUCUAGGAGGGAAACCAUUAAUUUGUCAUCAUCGUAGUGUAGUAAUUAUAAGAAUGUCUUAAAAAAUGGGCUAACACAGCUUUAGAAAUCUUAGGCAUGGAUGUUACGAGUAGAAUGCAAAAAUGUAGGCAUGGAUGUUAAUUUGGGGUUUAGUUUUUGUUUGUCAUUUAAGCUUCAAUAUGAUUUUGAUUUAGGUUAUUCCAUAGAAUUGAAAAGGUAACCAUUGAAGGCUUACACUUUUCAAAAUAUUAAUUUUGAAGUCUUUAUUGUUAAUGUGAAAUAAUCAUAUUUAAAAGAAGUAAAAGAAGUAAAAGAAUAAAAGAGAAAAGAAAAAAGGGUUUGCAUUGUUUUUGAGGGGCUCCAGUGCAAGUGCCCUGCUAUGUGUCCCCAAAAUGAAGGAGAGAGAGGAGCUGUGCAUUGUUCAGUAGUACUUUCACAGAAUAUAAUCUUGAUUACACCAUUAUAUUCAAUUUUAAUAUACUACUUGUGUCCAAGAUAAUUAUGUUUAAUUAAAAGCACAUAAUUAACGAAGCAAAGCCCCAACAAAGAAUAAUUUUCACCUUUUUUUUCUAUAAAAAAAAAAAUUUUAAAAGAUAUUUAAAUUAAGAUUUUAUUGCAUUGAAGAGGCAAGACAAUCAUAUAUAGUGGAAAAAUGUGUUGCUUUUAUUUAACUUAUAAUACCCUAAAAGGAAUUAAGCAAAGAGAUUCUUUGUAAAAAUAUCUUAAAGCUUUAGUUAUUGGCAGCUAAUUGUUUGGUGUUUAUUAAUUAAGAAUUUGAGAAGUUGAAGAAGAAGCAACCAAAACCAACCAUUGUUUUUAAUUAUAUAUAUAUAUAUAUAUAUAUAUAUAUAUAUAUAUUUUAAUAAAGUAAAAUAAAAUACAAAAUUUGAAGUUGUUGGCAUUUUGUUGUGUCUCAAACUUUGGACGCAACAUCCCCCCUUUGAUGUCUUCUCUGCUAAAGCACUCAGUCAAGCAGUCUAUGCAGACAGAAUUUUCCUUUCAUUCCUUUUCAUAGUUAUCCAAAUAAAAUGCUCUUUCAAUUCUACCGUUCUUUAACCAUUUUUAUUCAAAUCACUCUCUACUGUACUAUCAACUUCAACGUCCAACCUUCAAUUCUCUCUAUCCCAUACUUUAAUUACAUUACUAUUACAUUAGAAAAGAAAUCUACCAUCAUUUUACUGCUAACUUUCUAAAAAUGAAACUUUAGAAAUAAUGGUAGACUUCUUUUGAAUGUAACAGUAUUGUAAUUAAAGUGUGAGAUUAACUCUGUGAAUGUAGGGCACACACGGCCAACCUUGUUGGGAAAUCCCUAUUAGGGUGGAGACAUUCAAAAAUCCUCCUAAUGUAAAUAGAACACAUACCCCAAUAAAAAAAAGUACACAAGAUUUUUAAAAUAAAAAAAAUAGAAUCGACUUAGAGAUGCUCAUUUUCCGUUCGUGAUCAGAGGGAUACUACUAAUCAGUCGAUUGAAGUCGGUUUUUAGACUAAAUGAUCAUCAAGUUAAUGUUCUAACCAAUCCGACUAUAAGAGAGUGCAAAUCGACCAAGGUUUGUUUAAGUCGGUUUAAGCCUUUAAAAUUUUUUAAACAUGUUAUUGGUUUGGCCAAACCGACAUUGAUCGAACUUCACCUUAUUUUCAAUUGAGUACUACCUUCAGUUUGAUCGAACAACUUGGUUUUAUAGUCUCUAUCAUGCUUACCCAUGGCAUUAAACAUUACGUACCUCAAAAGAUUAUAGAAAACAUUGAUAAUUUCGAUCAUAACAACAAUAAUAUUUUGCUAUAUUUAUAAGUAUUCUAAUUUAUUUUCUUAUCGUUAAAAACAACCCAAUAUUUUUUUUAUUUUUCAUAGUUUACAACUUUUCUCUAUCAUGCUUUUGUUCUUCAUGCUCACAAAUCAAUAUGUAAUUGAAAUCAAGCCUUGAAAUUUAGAAGUAUUAUAUAUAUAUUUGAUAUAAAUUUAACCUUUUUUGUUUUAUUGUAAAGUCACACAAAAUUAAGUUGCAUAGUAUAUGUGGUUAGUGUGUGUAGGAUUCUAUAUGCAUAGAAAAGAUAAAAGGGAGUUAAUUAUUGAAGUUGAAGUGAUGGAUUCCUUUUGCAAGCUAAGGGUUCUUCGUAUUGGAUUUUUGACUAAACCUCCUCCAUCAAUUCAUGGGGGAGAGAGCUUUGAAUCAUAAACAGUGCCCUAUUUUUCUUGAUCAUAUAUGAUUCAAGCACUAUUGUUUGAUAUUGAUUUAGUUGUUGGGUACAAUAUGGGAGAAUUAAGCUAUAGUUUUGAUGUUCUCUCCUUUUGAAUAAAUGUUACAUCCCACCAACUUAGAAGGGAAUUUUGUAGGCCACUCAAGUGGUAGAAAGCUUCAAGCAAUUAAUCAACUUAUUAUAAUGUUACACACGUUAUAUAUUUCUUUUUCUCACUUUUUAACUCUUUAUGCUCUCAACAAGAAUAUAAAAACAAUAAAUACCAAGCUAGCUACAUUAUUUACAAAAGAAAGAAAAAACACUUAACCAAUUAAUUUAUUUAAAAAAUACCUCACUCUUUUAAAACUUGAUAUAAACACUUCCCCUUCGUUUCAUUUGCUCAAAACUGAUUCUAUAGGAGACCAUUGAGCUUAGGAUUUAAGACUCCCUACUUCGAUAACAUGUUAAAUAUUCAUCAAUCAUAAUACGUCGACACACUUUAAGAGUAAGAUAAUUAAAACAUGUGAGGCUAUUUUAGAAGAAGUAAAUAAUGCUCAUCUAUGUUAAGUUGGAAAGUUGUGUGUCCUGACAUAUUCUAACAAAUUUGUAUUCUGCAGGUAGCUAAAUUUGAAGGUUACUUAUGAAUUAUUAAAGUUAGGUUAAUAAUGGAAUUGAUGAAAAAGUAGGAAUAUAUUUGAAACAUAUAUAUAUAUAUACACAAAGAAGAGGAUUCAUUAUUGUUAAACUAAAAAGAAAUUAAAUAAAAGACUCCAAUAUGGGUGACCCUAAUGAUUUAUGGGCCGACCAAAGAAACCUACGAUGCGACGUUAUUUCAACACAAGAAUCAUUCAACUUUUCUUUCUAAAAUUUUGUAGAAUAAUAAUAAUUGAAAUCAUAUACAACCCCUUUUAUUUUUCUUCUUCUUCUUCUUUUCAAUACAUACAAAAAUUAUAUAUAAGAUGAUGAGAAACAAAUGAAGAGGGAAAAAAAUCUGUGGUUUUGAAAAUGAAUAAAAAAAAAACUCUUAUCUAUAGAAAAUAAAAUAGCUUAUUCUAGACAAAAUUGAAAACUAUGAAACAAAUAUGAAACUUGAUGCUUGUAUUAAUUAAUUACCAUGCAUAAAAGCAUCCAACCAAACCUUCCCUUUCCUUUGAGAUUUUUUUUUUCUUUUAAUAUAGUUAUGCAUUAUAAAACUUCCCACAAAAUCUAAAAGAUACUAAAAUUAUAUAAAAAUAUUACUUUUACAAUUCCAAUAGUUUUGAUCACAUCAUUCAAAAAUAUUUUGAAAAAACAUAAAUCAAAUUGCCUACCAAACUUAUAUAUAUUUCAUUAAACAACUUAAUUAGAGAUAAGAAAUUAUAAAAUAAAUUUUGAAGUGUCUAUCAAACAUACUCUUCAUUACUAUAAAUUACGUCAAAAACAUCGUUUUUGAAAAAACGUUAUUCAUUAUUUUAUUAUAUAAUUAUAUCAAAAGGUGAUGUUAGAAGAUAGAUCAAAUUUAUGUGUUCGGACACAAAUUCAUGCACAAUGUUAGCAAUUAAAAAAAAAUAAAAGAAACACGGAUUGUUUACUCUAAUUAAUUUAAAAAUAUAUAACCUACAUAUGAGUAGGGAUGUUCGUGGUCGAUUGGGUUGAAAGUGACCGAGGAAUCCUUUUCAAAUAUAAACCCUAGUCCAAUGCAACCAUAAUUUUGUUUGGGUCGGAUUGAUUUAGAUUACUUAGCACAUUUAUUUUAACUUUACUCUUGAAAUAAGUAAUUAAAAGGUUAAUAGGUAAAAAUAUUGUUUAUUAUAUUGAACUAAUAUUAAUAACUCAAAUUUAAUUUAUAUUAUGAAUUUUUUCUUUUUACCACGUGGUAAAAGUUAUAUUAGGAAAUUUGUUAAAGACACUAAAUUAAUUAUCCAAACUACUUAAGUCAAUCUUUCCUCUAUCAUUCCACAAUUAUUGUAUUGAAAUGUAAAUAAUUCAAAUAUAUAUAUAUAAAGUGAUUAGAAUGGUAUGAAAUACUUAUCCAUUAAAGAUGUUGGCUACGGUUGGCUCUCAUAUGGGCCUACUCCUACCCUAAUCAUAAAAAGAUUGUUAUUCAUUCGAUAACAGUAAUGUUCAUCUCAACCUGAUAUAUAUACAUUUAUCAUUAGUGGAUAUAUAUCAUAUAAUGGAAAAGUAUUGUUAUAUAUAUUCUCCACGUGUCCAUCUCAACAUGAUAGAUGAUACCUAAAUUCCUUAGAAAACAAUUUAUUUUAGCACUUCAAGUUGAACAUUCAAGUACUGAUCUCUCCCAUUAUUGAAAGCUUGCAUGCGAAUAAAAUUAUAUCUAUGUUGAAAGGCCAUGCAUCUUCUUUUCUCUUCACUCAUUUUAUUUCAACUAAUUUGGAUAAACUCUAUAUCCUCAAGUACAUUAAUUACAAACCAUUCCAUAAAAGAUGCAUUUCAUAUUCCUAUUCUAUAAUGAUGAUAACAAUAAGCCAAGCAAGUCAAAGAUUAAAUGUAUAUGUUUCAUUUUUUUACUACUAAACCCCCCCUGUGAUAGUUUUAGGAUAUAAUUAAGACAAUAUUUUUGGAUUUGUAUUAGUACUAUAAAUAAGAAAUGAAGGUGAAUGAGGAAGUAUAAAUGUGUUAGAUUCAUAAAACGGAAACAAUGAUAAGGUAUCUUAGUAUAUAUUAUGCAUUAAUUUGAUUGCAUCAACAUCAAUCCCAUCAAAGGAAAAUUGAAAUUUUAAAAUUGGAAAUGCACUAAAUGAUAAAAACUGACAAAGGGUAAGAACAAAUUACCUGGAAAACACUCAAAAAUUAAAUGCAUUUGUGAAUAUAUUAAUUAGUUUGGAAAUAUUUCCGCUAAAUGCAACCACUAAUCAUCAAUUAUGAUCAUCAAUGGAUUUGGAUUUGGUCUCGAUUUGUUUGCCAAAAGUGGAAUUAUUUGACAUUUCAUUUGGCAUUCUUUGUAAUUUGCUUGCAAUUGCUGUCUUUCUUCUGUUUUUGCUGUCUUAUUCCACCCUUUUAUUGCUCAUCUGUCAAACAAAUUUCACAAUAGAUUAAUAUUGCUUAAACAUAUUCUUUUGGUUCUAAACUUUCAUUAAUAAUAUAAUUUAGUAUUCUUAUACUGGUUUUCAUGAGAUUUGAUGUUACAAUUCAUAACUUUAACAAUAUAUAUAUAUUUUAUAUGUUAACAUUUGUAACAAUUCAGUAAAAAACUAAGACUCAAUCUUAUAAUUUAAAACUACAAUUAGUAUCUAUGCAUUACAAGUAUAUUAGAUAAUUUAAAACUACAAUUAGUAUCUAUGCAUUACAAGUAUAUUAGAGGUUUUAAAUUUUAAUGUUUAUAUUGUACUUUAGUAGCCCAAAUUUUAAAUUAUUACUUUUAUAAAAGUUAUCUUUUCCACCCAAAAUACAUAUCAUUUGUGUAUGAAGUACACAUUUUUAUUUUAAUUUAUAUAAAAAUGUGCCACAUCUUAUAGUAUCGUAUAAAAGAGAGAGAUAUGUUAUUUGGUGUAUGAAGUACACAUUAUUUAUUUUAAUCAAAUGUGUCCCAUCCUAUAUAUUAUCAUAUAAUACAAUAAAAGAGAACAAAAUCUGUAUUUAUUCCUCUUUUUCUUGGUGCCUUAUUUUGUUCCAAACGUUGGUUUUACUUUUAGAGGGAGGCUCCUACCACAGUGGCUAUUAUGAAUUAGAUUUCUACAUAUAUUUGAAAUUAGAUGGAAAGAAUAAGGACUUUGUGCAUCUAUACGUUUACAACUCACCCUCUAAAUGUAUCAUACAUAAAAACUUUAAAUUAAAUAAUAAUAUUAAAAGAUAUACGUAUAUAUGACGAAUUUGUGAUAAAUUUUGUGUAACAUAUUAUUUUAAUUUCCGUGAUUUUAGUAGUUUUUAAAAAGAUUACUUUGAAACAAAUUAAUGUUUCAAUUCUUUUCGUACUUGAAUUUACAUCAUUAUUAUAACAAUCAUAUAUCUAUAUAUAUAUAAAAAGACAAAUCAAAUUGAAUUAUUCUCGCAAAAACUUUCUGGUUAUAAAUAUAUUCUGGGCAUAUUCUAUUUUAUAAAGAUUAUUAUAAUUUCGAAGGAAAUAGGAUAAAAAAGAAUAAUGGAAAUUGGGUUGGACACGUUGAUAGUAAAAUGGCAUGGAAAAAUAAGAGUGAAAAAUGAAGGAAAUUGGUAUUUGUGAUGAUGAGAAUAUAGAGUUGUGCAUUUGGAUGUGGAAAUUGGAAUAAAUUGCUGUGCAAAUUAAAAGAUACCCAGAAAAGAAAAUUACAGAAAUUAAAAAAAGAAAAGAAAAGAAAAGGGAAGGAAAAUAUAGAAGAAUAUGAUGAAGAGAAAUCUAAGGGAAAAAGGCAUUAGACCACAUUGCAUUGUUAUGGUUAUAAGUUUGAUCCCCAAAAGGCAAAAGCAUAUCAUCCCCAACAAACCCCAUUUGAUCUUGAGGGCUCACAAGCUCCAUCAGCCAUGCCGCAGUUUGUGGCUGCGUCGGUGGAGCCUGAGCCUGAGCCUGAACUUGAGCUUGAGGUUGUGAAGAAGAUGGUUUAAUUUUAAGAGAGUCAAUGCGUAUAGUAAUAUCUUUAAGAUUUUGAUCAAUGAGCCAACCGAGGUCGUUCAAAUCAAGCAUGUUAAGACCAUGUAGUCCCUUUGCAGCGGUGAGGCUCUGAAACAUCAACCGUGUGAUCUCUUUCUCCCGGUUGUCCUUUCUCAUUUUCUUCAAUUGCUCGUUCGCCUUUGCAAUCCUUUGUCGCAAAAAUGUCUCCUGGUUCACCUGUUUAAAACAUUCAUACCUCUCUAUUAUUUUCUUUAAGAAGCUACACGUUUAAUUAUAUACAUAUAAUAUGGCAAUAUGAUCACCUUAUUAAUAUGUUUUUUUAUAAACGUUUCAAGAGCAUGCACUACUACUACACUUACCAUCUUCUUACUUUGCUCCAUCUCGGGCAUCUUCUUGAACUGGGAAAGAACGCGCUGGACGCCAAUAGGGGAAGGCCAAAGCUCGGGUUGGGAAUCAUAGGGACUAAAGAUGAUUGCACAUGCCUCAAUCCCACAAAGAGUGCUUAAUUCACUAACCUUUUUCAUAAGCCCUCUCUUCCUCUUCUUGUAUGUUGCCUUUCUUGCAGAGUCAUUUGCAAUGUAAGCAAGUUUCACUUUCUUCCUUGUCAUUAUUUUCCUUUUCUUUUAGGGUCCUUUUUCCAUUCUCAUUUUGUUGCUAAUUUAUAAUACAUUUGAAUAUUAAGAAUUUUCAUUGGGAGAGUAUGGUCCUCGUUGUUGGGUUUGGACCAAUUUAAUGUCUUUGUUGUCAACUUUAAUUUUGAUAGAUUUGAGAUAAUCAUAUGGAGAUUAUUAUUUUAUUUGGUUGGGUUAAGUGAGUAGUAAUCACAAUGAUAUGAUAUUGUGAUUAUAAUUAUUAUUUUAUUUUAUUCAUAAGAUCCAAUUUAACCUCUUACCUUUUUAGCAAUAUUAUUAUUUAUUACUAUCACUUCGUACGUUAGUUCCCUCAUGUUUCUUUUUCUUCAGUUUCUUUUGCUUAUAAUAUAUAUAAUCUACAACAUAUUUAACUACUCAUCCUCAUUUUAAAUACCAUACAUACAUAUACAUAUAACGUAUACACAUAUACAAAAAUGUUCCAACUACUAUAUUGCUCUGUAAUGGAUCGCAUGCCUUCAAAAGGCUCCAAUUAGCCCUCAAUCAAGUACAAAUACCUAAAAUGAAUACCAAAUAAUUAUUCAAUACCGUACUCCUAGCUACCCUCCUCUCUUCAUCAUCUAUAUUUUAGUAGAAAAUGUUUAAAUAUAUAGUUCAAUUUACGUUAUAUAUUAAUAAUCAAAAUACUUGUGGUUUAACUUCUUUCAAUCUUCCAUCAAAAUUGUUGCAAACAAUGCAUGCAAAUUUGAGAUAAAUGUUGUCUUUGUUGUCAUCCUUAAUUUUGAAAGAUUUGAAAUAAUCAUAUUGGUUGGGUUACACAAUGAAAUGAUAUGAUAUUGAUUGUUUUUAUUUUAUUUUAUUCAUAAGAUCCAAUUUAACUUCUUACCCUUUUUAGUAAUCUUAUUAUUUAAUACUAUCACUUUGCAUUUAACUACUCAUAUCCUCAUCAAGUAUUUAAAUACCAUACAUAAUGUGUAUAUAUACAAAAACGUUCUAACACUAUUGAUCUCUAAUGGAUCACAGGCCUUCCA